UCCCCAUUUCUUCUCUAGCCUGAGCCUGGCACACUAUUCUAGCUAGACAUGGGUGUGGCUCAUAACACUUGUUGACUAAAUGGAUCGACGGCACCAUCGAAUCUCAAACUUUAACUGCCAAAACUAUUGUUUUUCAUCCUGUAGUCCCAUUUAGAAUUAUUAAACGUCCUUUUUUGGGCCGAUAUUUAGAGUAAUGCUUUCUCGGGGUUUGUCUGCAAGUAUUUCAAACCAUACGGACCUAAAAAUUAGAAGUCAUUCCAUCUUUAUUCCCCUAGAGCCUUCCAGCAGUUCCUAAACCGCUCUAGUCGGAGCACGUUAUCAUUCUUGUUAGUUCUGAGUGAAUUCCCUCAGUAUGAUAAUUCUUUCAUCUGUUUGUUCCCCGUUUCUUCUCUAGCCUGAGCCUGACACACUAUUCAAGCUAGACAUGGAUGUGGCUCGUAACACCUGAUGACCAAACGGAUCUACGGCACCAUCGAAUCCCAAACUUUAACUGCCAAAACUAUUGUUUUUCAUCCUGUAGUCCCUUUUAGAAUUACUAAACGUCCUUUUUUGGGCCGAGAUUUCCAGGAAUGCUUUCUCGGGGUUUGUGUGCAAGUAUUUCAAACCAUACAAAGCUAGAAAUUAGAAGUCAUUCCAUCUUUAUUAUCGUAGAGCCUUCCAGCAGUUCCUAAACCGGUCUAGUCGGAGCACGUUAUCAUUCUAGUUAGUUCUGAGUGAAUUCCCUCGGUAUGAUAAUUCUUUCAUCAGUUUGUUCCCCGUUUCUUCUCUAGCCUGAGCCUGACAAACUAUUCUAGCUAGACAUGCGUGUGGCUCGUAACACCUGAUGACCAAACGGAUCUAUAGCACCAUCGAAUCUCAAACUUUAACUGCCAAAACUAUUGUUUUCAUCCUGUAGUCCCUUUUAGAAUUACUAAACUUCCUUUUUUGGGCCGAGAUUUAGAGGAACGCUUUCUGGGGUUUGUGUGCAAGUAUUUCAAACCAUACAGACCUAAAAAUUAGAAGUCAUUCCAUCUUUAUUCCCCUAGAGCCUUCCAGCAGUUCCUAAACCGCUCUAGUCGGAGCACGUUAUCAUUAUUGUUAGUUCUGAGUGAAUUCCCUCGGUAUGAUAAUUCUUUCAUCAGUUUGUUCCCUGUUUCUUCUCUAUCCUGAGCCUGACACACUAUUCUAGCUAGACAUGGGUGUGGCUCGUAACACCUGAUGACUAAAUGGAUCGACGGCACCAUCGAAUCUCAAACUUUAACUGCCAAAACUAUUGUUUUUCAUCCUGUAGUCCCAUUUAGAAUUAGUAAACGUCCUUUUUUGGGCCGAGAUUUAGAGGAACGCUUUCUCGGGGUUUGUGUGCAAGUAUUUCAAACCAUACGGACCUAAAAAUUAGAAGUCAUUCCAUCUUUAUUCCCCUAGUCAUCAGGUAUACACUCAAGUCGGAGCACGUUAUCAUUCUUGUUAGUUCUGAGUGAAUUCCCUCGGUAUGAUAAUUCUUUCAUAAAUUUGUUCCCCGUUUCUUAUAUGGCCUGAGCCUGACACACUAUUCUAGCUAGACAUGGGUGUGGCUCGUAACACCUGAUGACCAAACGGAUCUACGGCACCAUCAAAUCUCAAACUUUAACUGCCAAAACUAUUCUUUUUCAUUCUGUAGUCCCUUCUAGAAUUACUAAACGUCCUUUUUUGGGCCGAGAUUUCCAGGAACGCUUUCUCGGGGUUUGUGUGCAUGUAUUUCAAACCAUACAGACCUAAAAAUUAUAAGUCAUUCCAUCUUUAUUCCCGUAGAGCCUUCCAGUAGUUCCUAAACCGCUCCAGUCGGAGCAUGUUAUCAUUCUUGUUAGUUCUAAGUGAAUUCCCUCGGUAUGAUAAUUCUUUCAUCAGUUUGUUCCCCGUUUCUUCUCUAGCCUGAGCCUGGCACACUAGUCUAGCUAGACAUGGGUGUGGCUCGUAACACCCGAUGACUAAAUGGAUCGACGGCACCAUCGAAUCUCAAACUUUAACUGCCAAAACUAUUGUUUUUCAUCCUGUAGUCCCAUUUAGAAUUACUAAACGUCCUUUUUUGGGCCGAGAUUUAGAGGAACGCUUUCUCGUGGUUUGUGUGCAAGAAUUUCAAACCAUACGGACCUAAAAAUUAGAAGUCAUUCCAUCUUUAUUCCCCUAGAGCCUUCCAGUAGUUCCUAAACCGCUCUAGUCGGAGCACGUUAUCAUUCUUGUUAGUUCUGAGAGAAUUCCCUCGGUAUGAUAAUUCUUUUAUCAGUUUGUUCCCCGUUUCUUCUCUAGCCUGAGCCCGACACACUAUUCUAGCUAGACAUGGGUGUGGCUCGUAACACCUGAUGACCAAACGGAUCUACGGCACCAUCGAAUCUCAAACUUUAACUGCCAAAACUAUUGUUUUUCAUCCUGUAGUCCCUUUUAGAAUUACUAAAUGUCCUUUUUUGGGCCGAGAUUUCCAGGAACGCUUUCUCAGGGUUUGUGUGCAAGUAAUUCAAACCAUACGGACCUAAAAAUUAGAAGUCAUUCCAUCUUUAUUCCCCUAGAGCCUUCCAGCAGUUCCUAAACCGCUCAAGUCAGUGCACGUUAUCAUUCUUGUUAGUUCUAAGUGAAUUCCCUCGGUAUGAUAAUUUGUUCAUCAGUUUGUUCCCCGUUUCUUCUCUAGCCUGAGCCUGACACACUAUUCUAGCUAGACAUGGGUGUGGCUCGUAACACCUGAUGACCAAACGGAUCUACGACACCAUCGAAUCUCAAACUUUAACUACCAAAACUAUUGUUUUUCAUCCUCUAGUCCCUUUUAGAAUUACUAAACGUCCUUUUUUGGGCCGAGAUUUCCAGGAACGCUUUCUCGGGGUUUGUGUGCAUGUAUUUCAAACCAUACAGACCUAAAAAUUAGAAGUCAUUCCAUCUUUAUUCCCGUAGAGCCUUCCAGCAGUUCCUAAACCGCUCCAGUCGGAGCAUGUUAUCAUUCUUGUUUGUUCUGAGUGAAUUCCCUCGGUAUGAUAAUUCUAUCAUCAGUUUGUUCCCCGUUUCUUCUCUAGCCUGAGCCUGGCAAACUAUUCUAGCUAGACAUGGGUGUGGCUCGUAACACCUGAUGACCAAACGGAUCUACGACACCAUCGAAUCUCAAACUUUAACUACCAAAACUAUUGUUUUUCAUUCUAUAGUCCCUUCUAGAAUUUCUAAACGUCCUUUUUUGGGCCGAGAUUUCCAGGAAUGCUUUCUCGGGGUUUGUGUGCAAGUAUUUCAAAUCAUACGGACCUAAAAAUUAGAAGUCAUUCCAUCUUUAUUCCCCUAGAGCCUUCCAGUAGUUCCUAAACCGCUCCAGUCGGAGCACGUUAUCAUUCUUGUUAGUUCAUAGUGAAUUCCCUCGGUAUGAUAAUUCUUUCAUCAGUUUGUUCCCCGUUUCUUCUCUAGCCUGAGCCUGGCACAGUAUUCUAGCUAGACAUGGGUGUGGUCGUAACACCUGAUGACUAAAUGGAUCGACGGCACCAUCGAAUCUCAAACUUUAACUGCCAAAACUAUUGUUUUUCAUCCUGUAAUCCCAUUUAGAAUUACUAAACGUCCUUUUUUGGGCCGAGAUUUAGAGGAACGCUUUGUUGGGGUUUGUGUGCAAGUAUUUCAAACCAUACGGACCUAAAAAUUAGAACUCAUUCCAUAUUUAUUCCCCUUGAGCCUUCCAGCAGUUCCUAAACCGCUCUAGUCGGAGCACGUUAUCAUUCUUGUUAGUUCUAAGAGAAUUCCCUCGGUAUGAUAAUUCUUUUAUCAGUUUGUUCCCCGUUUCUUCUCUAGACUGGGCCCGACACACUAUUCUAGCUAGACAUGGGUGUGGCUCGUAACACCUGAUGACCAAACGGAUCUACGGCACCAUCGAAUCUCAAACUUCAACUGCCAAAACUAUUGUUUUUCAUCCUGUAGUCCCUUUUAGAAUUACUAAACGUCCUUUUUUGGGCCGAGAUUUCCAGGAACGCUUUCUCGGGGUUUGUGUGCAAGUAUUUCAAACCAUACGGACCUAAAAAUUAGAAGUCAUUCCAUCUUUAUUCCCGUAGAGCCAUCCAGCAGUUCCUAAACCGCUCCAGUCGGAGCACGUUAUCAUUCUUGUUAGUUCUGAGUGAAUUCCCUCGGUAUGAUAAUUCUUUCAUCAGUUUGUUCCCCGUUUCUUCUCUAGCCUGAGCCUGACAAACUAUUAUAGCUAGACAUGGGUGUGGCUCGUAACACCUGAUGACCAAACGGAUCUAUGGCACCAUCGAAUCUCAAACUUUAACUGCCAAAACUAUUGUUUUUCAUCCUGUAGUCCCUUUUAGAAUUACUAAACGCCCUUCUUUGGGACGAGAUUUCCAGGAACGCUUUCUCGGGGUUUGUGUGAAAGUAAUUCAAACCAUACGGACCUAAAAAUUAGAAGUCAUUCCAUCUUUAUUCCCGUGGAGCCUUCCAGUAGUUCCUAAACCGCUCCAGUCGGAGCACGUUAUCAUUCUUGUUAGUUCUGAGUGAAUUCCCUCGGUAUGAUAAUUCUUUCAUCAGUUUGUUCCCUGUUUCUUCUCUAGCCUGAGCCUGGCACACUAUUCUAGCUAGACAUGGGUGUGGCUCGUAACACCUGAUGACUAAACUGAUCAAUGACACCAUCGAAUCUCAAACUUUAACUGCCAAAACUAUUGUUUUUCAUCCUGUAGUCCCAUUUAGAAUUACUAAACGUCCUUUUUUGGGCCGAGAUUUCCAGGAACGCUUACUCGGGGUUUGUGUGCAAGUAUUUCAAACCAUACUGACCUAAAAAUUAGAAGUCAAUCCAUCUUUAUUCCCCUAGAGCCUUCCAGCAGUUCCUAAACCGCUCCAGUCGGAGCACGUUAUCAUUCUUGUUAGUUCUGAGUGAAUUCCCUCGGUAUGAUAAUUCUUUCAUCAGUUUGUUCCUUGUUUCUUCUCUAGCCUGAACCUGACACACUAUUCUAGCUAGACAUGGGUGUGGCUCGUAACACCUGAUGACCAAACGGAUCUACGGCACCAUCGAAUCUCAAACUUUAACUGCCAAAACUAUUAUUUUUAAUCCUCUAGUCCCAUUUAGAAUUACUAAACGUCCUUUUUUGGGCCGAGAUUUAGAGGAACGCUUUCAUGCGGUUUGUGUGCAAGUAUUUCAAACCAUACGGACCUAAAAAUUAGAAGUCAUUCCAUCUUUAUUCCCCUAGAGCCUUCCAGCAGUUCCUAAACCGCUCCAGUCGGAGCAUGUUAUCAUUCUUGUUAGUUCUGAGUGAAUUCCCUCGGUAUGAUAAUUCUUUCAUCAGUUUGUGGCCCGUUUCUUCUCUAGCCUGAGCCUGACACACUAUUCUAGCUAGACGUGGGUGUGGCUCGUAACACCUGAUGACCAAACGGAUCUACGGCACCAUCGAAUCUCAAACUUUAAGUGCCAAAACUAUUAUUUUUAAUCCUGUAGUCCCAUUUAGAAUUACAAAAAUGUCCUUUUUUGGGCUGAGAUUUCCAGGAACGCUUUCGUGCGGUUUGUGUGCAAGUAUUUCAAACCAUACAGACCAAAAAAUUAGAAGUCAUUCCAUCUUUAUUCCCUUAGAGCCUUCCAGCAGUUCCUAAACCGCUCAAGUCGGAGCAUGUUAUCAUUCUUGUUAGUUCUGAGUGAAUUCCCUCGGUAUGAUAAUUCUUUCAUCAGUUUGUUCCCCGUUUCUUCUCUAGCCCGAGCCUGACAAACUAUUAUAGCUAGACAUGGGUGUGGCUCGUAACACCUGAUGACCAAACGGAUCGACGACACCAUCGAAUCUCAAACAUUAACUGCCAAAACUACACCUCAUUGACACGUCUGUUGAAAAACAGAGAUCGCGCCCACUUAAUACGGGAUUUAGUAUCAAUGAUAUCUGGGUAAUCCAACCGACAGCAGCGCAUACCCACAUCAGGAACAGACGAUGUUUUAAGGCUAGGGAGGCAGGCGCUUGGUAUUCACUUCUUAUAUAAACGAAGUAAGAUUUAUCUUUUCCAUCCCACGCCUUCUUCCUUUUUCCGCCUCCCCAUCUCCUAGCUCUAGUGCCCGAGCCUCGAAACUUCCCACCACCACCAGCCUCCCCAGUCACGUUCGGAUCUGGCCUUCAAGGAAAGUGGGCCGCCUCCUCCGGGAGGGAGAAGGAUGUCAAGGAGCUCCAGGAUGCGGGGUACCUGAGUGCGGAAAUCACGUACAGGAUCCUAGCUAAGAAGCAAGUCAUCCCCACCCUAGAGCCCGGUGAGAGGGUGGUAUUUAUCCCCUACUUCCUCCGUGGACUAGGGUUUCCACUUCACCCUUUUGUCCGCGGCAUCAUGUUCUAUUACAGGCUAGAUUUCCAUGAUCUAGCCCCAAACUCAUUCCUCCACAUCUGGGCGUUUAUCGUUGAGUGCGUGGCGCUUCUCCGCAUCCCCCCCCCGGCACUUCGGUCUCUGGCUCAAAUUCUUCAACAUGAAGCCAAAGGUGGUGGAUGGGGAGCAUGCAGACUGCGGAGGCGCAAUGGUGAGCAAGCUUCCCAACAUCACCUGGCCCAAAGGGGCUUUUUGUGGAGACUGUAAAAAUAUGGCAGCAGGAGUGGUUCUACAUCACCGAACCUCGCGGCGCCAACUGGGCGGCCACUCCUGAAUUCAGAUCCGGACCCCCAAUGUGGCUAGCGUCGUGGAUCAACAAGGGCUUGGACUGGGGGUUAGCGAACGAGGAGACGAUGCUGCAAAAGCGCAUCAAAAACAUCAUAAAGAGGGACACCGACCUCCCCGACGUGGUUCAUGUGAUGCUAUUCCGCCGGAUCCUUCCCUGCUAGCACCGGCAUCUCCACAUGUGGGAGUUUAAUCCGGAAGGGCCACGAACCCUGCUUCAAUUCUCCGGCACAAUGCACGAAGAAAUCUGGAGGCUGCUUUUCAAGGCCCAGAAGAAGAAAUCGUGACCGGAGAUUGUCGACGACAUCGGCCUCGACUGCGCUCACCCAGCCACUCCGAUAAGUUUUUAUUUUCCGAACAUAACUUAAUCUGAACAUCGCAGGGGUGUAUUGGGAUUCUCACAUUUGUAACAGGGUUGGACGAAGAAGGCGGAGCGGAUUAAAGGUCUCGCUCCAUUGCCCGAAAGUCCCCCUGAUCCUCUACUGAUGAGGAUGUUGGUUCCGGCACCGUACCAGGCACCGGAAAAGAACACCAAGAAGAAGUUCAAGGAGGCCAAAGAUGACUCCCGCCGAAAAGGUCCCUCCGACACUAUGUCCGGGGAGUCCGAAGCCCUCUCCUCCCGCGAGGGUGAUGAAGAAGAGAAGGAGGAGGAGCAGGAAGAGAACAACUCUCCCCUUAAGGGGAGGAGGAAGAAAAGAGUGGCUUCCGCAGACCCAGAGACGGAGGCGUCCAAAAGGGGGAGAGCAUCUCUCUCGGAUGACUCGGAUUCGGCUGCCGAAGUCAUCCCCGAGCAUCGCCCUAGGUCCCCCAGCCGAAUCAUGACUGUCUCAAGAUGCCUUACAUACAUCGGCUUUUACAAUUAUCGUUUUUAACAUAUUGCAUUGUGUGUUUCAGCCCGGCCCGCGAUCUCCCUCAAACAUCGUCUCCGGGAAAUUCGUUGGAGCCAGGGGCGCUGGAGCGCAAGACGCCUCCGCGGGCUUUCCCGCUUAGCGCUCCGGACGACACCGAAGUUGUGCCCCGAAGAGCCUUUCUAGGCCACAGAGAGGUGCCGAAGUCCAUGGAAACCGAGGACGGGGUCCAUGACUGAUGACCCAUAAGUGUAGGGGAUCUAUCGUAGUCCUUUUGAUAAGUAAGAGUGUCGAACCCAACGAGGAGCAUAAGGAAUUGACAAGCGGUUUUCAGUAUGGUAUUCUCUACAAGCACUAAAAUUAUCGAUAACAGAUAGUUUUGUGAUAAGGUAAUUUUUAAUGAGUAACAAGCAAUGAAAGUAAAUAAGGUGCAGCAAGGUGGCCCAAUCCUUUUUGUAGCAAAGGACAAGCCUAGACAAGUUCUUAUAUAGAGAAAAGCGCUCCCGAGGACACAUGGGAAUUAUCGUCAAGCUAGUUUUCAUCACACUCAUAUGAUUCGCGUUCCUUACUUUGAUAAUUUGAUAUGUGGGUGGACCGGUGUUUGGGUACUGCCCUUUCUUGGACAAGCAUCCCACUUAUGAUUAACCCCUAUUCCAAACAUCCAAAACUACAAAAGAAGUAUUAAGUUAACCUAACCAUAGUGCUACGUCUUGAGCUUGCGUUGGUUUUCCUUGAAGAGGAAGGGGUGAUGCAGCAAUAGUAGCGUAAGUAUUUCCCUCAGUUUUUGAGACCCAAGGUAUCAAUCCAGUAGGAGGCUCCUCAAAAGUCCCACGCACCUACACAAACAAACAAAGAACUCAGCAACCAACGCAAUAAAGGGGUUGUCAAUCCCUUCAUGGCCACUUGCGAAAGUGAGAUCUAAUAAAGAUAAAUAAGAUAAGAUAAAUAUAUUUUUGGUAUUUUAUAAUAUAGAUGCAAAAAGUAAAGAUGCAAAUAAAAAUAGAUUGGAAGCAAAUAUGAUAAGAGAUAGACCCGGGGGCCAUAGGUUUCACUAGUGGCUUCUCUCAAGAUAGCAUAAGUAUUACGGUGGGUGAAUAAAUUACAGUCGAGCAAUUGAUAGAAAAGCGAAUAAUUAUGAGAUUAUCUAGGCAUGAUCAUGUAUAUUGGCAUCACGUUCGCAACAAGUAGACUGACUCCUGCCUGCAUCUACUACUAUUACUCCACACAUCGACCGACUCCUACCUGCAUCUACUACUAUUACUCCACACAUCGACCGACUCCUGCCUGCAUCUAGAGUAUUAAGUUCAUAAGAACAGAGUAACGCAUUAAGCAAGAUGACAUGAUGUAGAGGGAUAAACUCAAGCAAUAUGAUAUAAACCCCAUCUUGUUAUCUUCGAUGGCAACAAUACAAUACGUGCCUUGCAACCCUUUCUGUCACUCGGUAAGGACACCGCAAGAUUGAACUCAAAGCUAAGCACUUCUCCCAUGGCAAGAAAGAUCAAUCUAGUAGGCCAAACCAAACUGAUAAUUCGAAGAGACUUGCAAAGAUAACUCAAUCAUACAUAAAAGAAUUCAGAGAAGAUUCAAAUAUUAUCCAUAGAUAAACUUGAUCAUAAACCCACAAUUCAUCGGAUCUCGACAAACACACCGCAAAAAGAAUUUACAUCGAAUAGAUCUCCACAAGAGAGGGGGAGAAUAUUGUAUUGAGAUCCAAAAAGAGAGAAGAAGCCAUCUAGCUAAUAACUAUGGACCCGUAGGUCUAUGGUAAACUACUCACAACUCAUAGGAGGGGCUAUGGUGUUGAUGUAGAAGCCCUCCGUGGUCGAUUCCCCCUCCGGCAGAGUGCCGACGAAGGCUCCAAGAUGGGAUCUCGCGGAAACAGAAGGUUACGGUGGUGUAAAUUGUGUUUCGUUCGCUCCCUGGAUGUUUUCGGGGUACAUAGGUAUAUAUAGGAGGAUGAAGUACGUCAGUGGACGCCCGAGGGGCCCACGAGACAGGGGGCGCGCCCUAUAGGGGGGGCGCCCUCCUAUCUCGUGGAGGCCUCGGCUGCUUCUUGACUUGCACUCCAAGUCCUGUGCAUCACAUUCGUUCCAAUAAUCACGCUCCCGAAGGUUUCAUUCCGUUUGGAAUCCGUUUGAUAUUCCUUUUCUUUUAAAUACUGAAAUAGGCAAAAAAACAGCAAUACGGGAUGGGCCUCUGAUUAGUAGGUUAGUCCCAAAAAUGAUAUAGAUGUGUAAAAUAAAGCCCAUAAACAUCCAGAAGGGGUAAUAUAAUAGCAUGGAACAAUCAAAAAUUAUAGAUACAUUGGAGACAUAUCACAUAGCAUGAAACAUGUGGAUCCAAAUCAGCCCCUUACGAAGCAACACAUAAACUAGGGUUUAAGCUUCUGUCACUCUAGCAACCCAUCAUCUACUUAUUAACUCCCAAUGCGUUCCUCAAGGUCCAAACAAUGGUGAAGUGUCAUGUAGUCGACGUUCACAUAACACCACUAGAGGAGAGACAACAUACAUCUCAUCAAAAUAUUGAACGAAUACCAAAUUUACAUGACUACUAAUAGCAAGACUUCCCCCAUGUCCUCUGGAACAAACGUAACUACUCACAAAGCAUAUUCAUAUUCAUAAUCAGAGGUGUACUAAUAUGCAUUAAGGAUCUGAACAUAUGAUCUUGCACCAAAUAAACCAACUAGCAUCAACUACAAGGAGUAAUCAACACUACUAGCAACCCACAGGUACCAAUCUAAGGUUUUGGUAUAAAGAUUGGAUACAAGAGAUGAACUAGGGUUUGAGAGGAGAUGGUGCUGGUGAAGAUAUUGAUGGAGAUUGACCCCCUCCCCGAUGAGAGGAUCGUUGGUGAUGACGAUGGUGAUGAUUUCCCCCUCCCGGAGGUAAAUUUCCCCGGCAGAACAGCUCCGCCGAAGCCCUAGAUUGGUUUCGCCAAGGUUCCGCCUCAUGGUAGCGGAGUUUCAUCCCGUAAGCUUGCUUAUGUUUUUUCCAUGGUAAAAAGCCUUCAAAUAGUAGAAGAUGGCCACCGAAGGGCUGCCAGGGGGCCCACAAGGUAGGGGGCGCCUAGGGGGGUAGGGCGCGCCCCCACCCUCGUGGAUGGUGGGUGGCCCCCCUCAGGUAUUUCUUCCUCUCAAUAUUUUUUAUUAAUUACCAAAAUGACUUUCAUGGAGUUUCAGGACUUUUGGAGCUGUGCAGAAUAAGUCUCUAUUAUUUGCUCCUUUUCGAGCCCAGAAUCCCAGCUGCCGGCAUUCUCCCUCUUUAUGUAAAACUUGUAAAAUAAGAGAGAAUAGGCAUAAGUAUUGUGACAUAACGUGUAAUAACAGCCCAUAAUGCACUAAAUAUCGAUAUAAAAGCAUGAUGCAAAAUGGACGUAUCAGUGACCAAUCUGUCCCCUAGCCGCACACUAUUUCGGAAACCCAUACAGGUCCGGAAUCCAACAAGCAACCCCCUUUGAAGGAGGGAAGAGCGUCAACUCCACCGGUGACCUCCAUGAAUCUGGAAGCGCCAGAUAAUUUGACGGAAGUGCUUCAUCAUGCUUCCAUCAUGGAGGAGAACCGCACCCUUAUGGGUGUGGUGGCUGAGAAGAUUCAGUCCGCCAAAAGCAGGUAGAACGAAGCCUUUACUAGCCUGUUAACAGGCAUUGAGGUAUGUGAUGUAAUUUUCUAACUGAUUCCAAUAAAGAGAUACACCUGUGUGUAGAAAGUAGCCCCUGAGACUCUGCCCGGUUUCAAAGGAGCCAGACAGAGGAUCACAUAAUAUUCGGCAAAGGUAACAUUCUAUUAUACAACAGGCUUCCCUGCUGCCGGCGAGCGCCCAGUCGGCCGACGUUUCCGAACUCACUCAGAAGCUGUGGCUGGUUGAUGAAGAAGUUGUCCGCAUUAAUAGCGGUUGGAGGAGACACAAGGUAUGCGUACAUUGAGUAUAAGCCCCUGAUGUCUACUACACAACCUUCUUCUUGUAGACGUUGUUGGUCCUCCAAGUGCAGAUGUUUGUAGGACAGUAGAAAAUUUCCCUCAAGUGGAUGACCUAAGGUUUAUCAAUCCAUGGGAGGCGUAGGAUGAAGAUGGUCUCUCUCAAACAACCCUGUAACCAAAUAACAAAGAGUCUCUUGUGUCCCCAACACACCCAAUACAAUGGUAAAUUGUAUAGGUGCACUAGUUCGGCGAAGAGAUGGUGAUACAAGUGCAAUAUGAAUGGUAGAUAUAGGUUUUUGUAAUCUGAAAAUAUAAAAACAGCAAGGUAACUAAUGAUAAAAGUGAGCGAAAAUGGUAUUGCAAUGCUUCGAAACAAGGCCUAGGGUUCAUACUUUCACUAGUGCAAGUUCUCUCAACAAUAAUAACAUCAUUAGAUCAUAUAACAAUCCCUCACCAGGCAACAAAGAGUCACUCAAGAGUCACUAAUAGUGGAGAACAAACGAAGAGAUUAUUGUAGGGUAAGAAACCACCUCAAAGUUAUUCUUUCCGAUCAAUCCAUUGGGCUAUUCCUAUAAGUGUCACAAACAGCCCUAGAGUUCGUAGUAAAAUAACACCUUAAGACACAAAUCAACCAAAACCCUAAAGUCAUCUAGAUACUCCAAGGUCACCUAGAGUAUCCGUGGGUAUGAUUAUACGAUAUGCAUCACACAAUCUCAGAUUCAUCUAUUCAACCAACACAAAGAACUUCAAAGAGUUCCCCAAAGUUUCUACUGGACAGUCAAGACGAAAACGUGUGCCAACCCCUAUGCAUAGAUUCCCAAGGUCACGGAACCCGCAAGUUGAUCACCAAAACAUACAUCAAGUGGAUCAAUAGAAUACCCCAUUGUCACCACGGGUAUCCCACACAAGACAUACAUCAAGUGUUCUCAAAUCCUUAAAGACUCAAUCUGAUAAGAUAACUUCAAAGGGAAAACUCAAUCCAUUACAAGAGAGUAGAGGGGGAGAAACAUCAUAAGAUCCAACUAUAAUAGCAAAGCUCGCGGUACAUCAAGAUUGUGCCAAAUCAAGAACGAGAGAGAGAGAGAGAGAGAGAGAGAGAGAGCGAUCAAACACAUAUCUACUGGUACAUACCCUCAGCCCCGAGGGUGAAGUACUCGCUCCUCGUCAUGGAGAGCGCUGGGAUGAUGAAGAUGGCCACCGGUGAUGGAUCCCCCCUCCGGCAGGGUGCAGGAACAGGGUCCCGAUUGGUUUUUGGUGGCACAGAGGCUUGCGGCAGCGGAACUCCCGAUCUAGGUUGUUUUAUGGAGGUUUGGGGAUUUCUAGGAGAGGUUGGCAUCGAGAACAAGUCAAGGGGGCCCACGGAGAGUCCACGAGGCACAGGGGCGCACCCCAGGGGGGUGGACCGGCCCUCCACCCUCGUGGGUCCCACGGGACUCCCCUCCCGUAACUUUUCAUUCCAAUAUUUUUUAUAUUUACAAAAAAAAUGUCCGUUGAUUUUCAGCGCAUUCCGAGAACUUCUAUUUCUGCACAAAAACAAGACCAGGGUAGUUCUGCUGAAAACAGCGGCUGUUCGGGUUAGUUCUAACCAAAUCAUACCAAAAGCAUGUAAAAAUAUUAUAAACAUGGCAUGAAUACCUCAAAAAUUAUAGAUAUGUUGGAGACGUAUCAACAUCCCCAAGCUUAAUUCCUGCUCGUCCUCGAGUAGGUAAAUGAUAAAACUAGAAUUUUUGAUUUGGAAUGCUACCUAACAUAUUUAUCAAUGUAAUCUUCUUUAUUGUGGUAAGAAUAUUCCUAUCCAUAGAUUCAAAACAAAAGUUUAAUAUUGACAUAAAAACAAUAAUACUUCAAGCAUACUAAUAAACCAAUCAUGUCUUCUGAAAAUAACAUGGCCAAAGAAAGUUAUCCCUACAAAAUCAUAUAGUCUGGCUACGCUCCAUCUUCAUCACACAAAAUAUUUAAAUCAUGCACAACCCCAGUUUCAGCCAAGCAAUUGUUUCAUACUUUAGUAUUUUCAAACUUUUUCAACUUUCACGCAAUACAUGAGCGUGAACCAUGGACGUAGCACUAUAGGUGGAAUAGAAUGGUGGUUGUGGAGAAGACAAAAAGGAGAAGAUAGUCUCAGAUCGACUAGGCGUAUCAAUGGGCUAUGGAGAUGCCCAUCAAUAGAUAUCAAUGUGAGUGAGUAGGGACUACCAUGCAACGGAUGCACUAGAGCUAUAAGUGUAUGAAAGCUCAAAAAGAAACUAAGUGGGUGUGCAAACAACUUGCUUGCUCACAAACCUAGGGCAAUUUGAGGAAGCCCAUCAUUGGAAUAUACAAGCCAAGUUCUAUAAUGAAAAAUUCCCACUAGUAUAUGAAAGUUACAACAUAGGAGACUCUCUAUCAUGAAUAUCAUGGUGCUACUUUGAAGCACAAGUGUGGUAAAAGGAUAGUUACAUUGCCCCUUCUCUCUUUUUCUCUCAUUUUUUUUUUGUUUUUUUGGGCCCUCUUUUUUUUCUGGCCUCUUUAUUUAUUUAUUUUUUAUUUUUCAUCCGGAGUCUCAUCCCGACUUGUGGGGGAAUCAUGGUCUCCAUCAUCCUUUCCUCACUGGGACAAUGCACUAAUAAUGAAGAACAUCACACUUUUAUUUACUAACAACUUAAGAAUUAAAACUUGAUACUUAGAACAAAAUAUGACUCUAUAUGAAUGACUCCGGCGGUGUACCGGGAUGUGCAAUAAUUCAAGAGUGACAUGUAUGAAAGAAUUAUGAACAGUGGCUUUGCCACAAAUACGAUGUCAACUACAUGAUCAUGCGAAGCAAUAUGAAAAUUGUGAAGCGUGUCAUAACAAACGGAACGGUGGAAAGUUGCAUGGCAAUAUAUCUCGGAAUGGCUAUGGAAAUGCCAUAAUAGGUUGGUAUGGUGGCUAUUUUGAGGAAGGUAUAAGGUGGGUGUAUGGUACCGGCGAAAGUUGCGCGGCAUAAGAGGGGCUAGCAAUGGUGGAAGGGUGAGAGUGCGUAUAAUCCAAUCCAUGGACUCAACAUUAAUCACAACUAACUUACAUACUUAUUGCAAAAAUCUAUUAGUCAUCAAAAAAAGUACUACACACAUGCUCCUAGGGGAAGGGUUGGUAGGAGUUAACCAUCGCGCGAUCCCGACUCCACUCAUAAGGAAGACAAUCAAUAAAUAAAUCAUGAUCCAACUUCAUCACAUAAUGGUUCACCAUACGUGCAUGCUACGGGAAUCACAAACUUUAACACAAGUAUCUCUCAAAUUCGCAACUACUCCACUAGCAUGACUCUAAUAUCAUCAUCUUCAUAUCUCAAAACAAUUAUAAAGAAUCAAACUUCUCAUGGUAUUCAAUGCACUUUAUAUGAAAGUUUUUAUUAUAUCCCUCUUGGAUGCCCAUCAUAUUAGGACUAAAUUUAUAACCCAAGCAAAUUACCAUGCUGUUCUAAAGACUCUCAAAAUAAUACAAGUGAAGCAUGAGAGUUCAUCUAUUUCUUCCAGAUAAAACCACUAUCGUUCUCUAAAAAGAUAUAAGUGAAGCACCAGAGCAAACGACAAAGUACUCCAAAAGAUAUAAGUGAAGAUCAAUGAGUAGUCGAAUAAUUAUGUAACUAUGUGAAGACUCUCUAACAUUUAAGAAUUUCAGAUCUUAUGUACUUUAUUCAAACAUCAAGCAAAACAAAAUAAAACAAAAUGACGCUCCAAGCAAAACACAUAUCAUGUGGUGAAUAAAAAUAUAGCUCCAAGUAAAGUUACUGAUGAACAAAGAUGAAAGAGGGGAUGCCAUCCGGGGCAUCCCCAAGCUUAGGCUCUUGAUUGUCCUUAAAUAUUACCUUGGGGGUGCCUUGGGAAUCUCCAAGCUUAGGCUCUUGCCACUCCUUAUUCCAUAGUUCAUUGAAUCUUUACCCAAAACUUGAAAACUUCACAACACAAAACUCAACAGAAAACUCGUAAGCUCCGUUAGUAUAAGAAAAUAAAAUCACCACUUAGGUACUAUUGUGAACUCAUUAUAAAUUCAUAUUGGUGUUAUAUCUACUAUAUUUAACUUCUCUAUGGUUCAUACCCUCCGAUACUACUCAUAGAUUCAUCAAAAUAAGCAAAAAAACACAUAGAAAACAUAAUAUGUAAAAAACAGAACAGUCUAUAGUAAUCUGUAACUAUCAAAUACUUCUGUAAAUCCAAAAAUUCUGAAAUAAAUUGGUGGACGUUUGGAAUUUUUCUAUUAAUGUUCUGAAAAAAUAAUCAACUUAAAAGCACUCUUCUGUUAAAAAUGACAAUUAUUCUCAUGAGCGCAAAGUUUAUGUUUUUUACAGCAAGAUCGCAUUAACUUUCACCCAAGUCUUCCCAAAGGUUCUACUCGGCACUUUAUUGAAACAAAAGAUAUAAAACAUGAUUAAUACAAUAGCAUAAUCAUGUGGACACACAAAAACAGUAGGGGUAAAUGUUGGGUAGUCUCCCAACAAGCGCUUUUCUUUAAUGCCUUUUUAGCUAGGCAUGAUGAUGACAAUGAUGCUCACAUAAAAGAUAAGAAUUGAAACAUAACAGGAGCAUCAUGAAGUAUAUGACUAGCAAAUUUAAGUCUAACCCACUUCCUAUGCAUAGGGAUUUUGUGAGCAAACAACUUAUGGGAACAAGAAUCAACUAGCAUAGGAAAGCAAAACAAGCAUAGCUUCACGAUUUUCAACACAUAGAGAGGAAACUUUAUAUUAUUGCAAUUCCUACAAGCAUAUGUUCCUCCUUCAUAAUAAAUUUCAGUAGCAUCAUGAAUGAAUUCAACAAUACAACUAUCACAUAAAGCACUAUUUUCAUGGUGCACAAGCAUAGAAUUUUUAUUACUCUCCACAUAAAUUUUUUGCUUCUCAUGGAUAGUAGUGGGAGCAAACUCAACAAAAUAACUAUCAUGUGAGGCAUAAUCCAAUUGAAAAUUAAAAUCAUGAUGACAAGUUUCACAGUUAUCAUUCUUCUUUAUAGCAUACAUGUCAUCACAAUAAUCACCACGGAUAGCAACUUUGUUCUCAUAAUCAAUUGGAACCUCUUCCAAAAUAGUGGAUUCAUCACUAAAUAAGGUCAUGGCCCAAAUCAACUUUCAGAAUUAUAAUCAUCAUAGAUAGGAGGCAUGCUAUCAUCAUAAUAAAUUUGCUCAUCGGAAUUUGGGGGACCGAAAAUAUUAUGUUCAUCAAACAUAGCAUCCCCAAGAUUGUAGCUUUGCAUAUCAUUAGCAUCAUGGAUAUUCAAGGAGAUACUAACAACAUUACAAUCAUUCUCAUCAUUCAAAGAUUUAGUGCCAAACAUUUUAUUGCAUUCUUUGUCUAACACUUUGGAACAAUUAUCGGAGUCCUUAUUUUCACGGAAGACAUUAAAAAGCUGAAGCAUAUGUGGCAUCCUCAAUUCCAUUUUUUUGUAGUUUUAUUUUAUAAACUAAACUAUUGAUAAAACAAGAAACUAAAAGAUUCAAUUGGAAGAUCUAAAGACAUACCUUCAAGCACCAACCUCUUCGGCAACGGCGCUAGAAAAGAGCUUGAUGUCUACUACACAACCUUCUUCUUGUAGACGUUGUUGGGCCUUCAAGUACAGAGGUUUGUAGGACAGUAGCAAAUUUCCCUCAAGUGGAUGACCUAAGGUUUUAUCAGUCCGUGGGAGGCGUAGGAUGAAGAUGGUCUCUCUAAAACAACCCCACAACCAAAUAACAAAGAGUCUCUUGUGUCCCCAACACACCCAAUACAAUGGUAAAUGGUAUAGUUGCACUAGUUCGGCGAAGACAUGGUGAUACAAGUGCAAUAUGGAUGGUAGAUAUAGGUUUUUGUAAUCUGAAAAUAUAAAAACAGCAAGGUAACUAAUGAUAACAUUGAGCGAAAACGGUAUUGUGAGGCUUCGAAACAAGGCCUAGGGUCCAUACUUUCACUAGUGCAAGUUAUCUCAACAAUAAUAAAUAAUUAGAUAAUAUAACAACCCCUCAACAUGCAACAAAGAGUCACUCCAAAGUCACUAAUAGCAAAGAACAAAUGAAGAGACUAUUGUAGGGUACGAAACCACCUCAAAGUUAUUAUUUCUGAUCAAUCCAUUGGGCUAUUCCUAUAAGUGUCACAAACAGCCCUAGAGUUCGUAGUAAAAUAACACCUUAAGAUAUAAAUCAACAAAAACCCUAACGUCACCUAGAUACUCCAAUGUCACCUCAAGUAUCCAUGGGCAUGAUUAUGUGAUAUGCAUCACACAAUCUCAGAUUCAUCUGUUCAACCAACACAAAGAACUUCAAAGAGUGCCUCAAAGUUUCUACCGGAGAGUCAAGACAAAAACAUGUGCCAACCCCUAUGCAUAGAUUCCCAAGGUCACGGAACCCGCAAGUUGAUCACCAAAACAUACAUCAAGUGUAUCAAUAGAAUACCCCAUUGUCACCACGGGUAUCCCACGCAAGACAUACAUCAAGUGUUCUCAAAUCCUUAAAGACUCAAUCCGAUAAGAUAACUUCAAAGGGAAAACUCAAUACAUUACAAGAGAGUAGAGGGGGAGAAACAUCAUAAGAUCUAACUAUAGUAGCAAAGCUCGUGGCACAUCAAGAUCGUGCCAAAUCAAGAACACGAGAGAGAGAGAGAUCAAACACAUAGCUACUGGUACAUACCCUCAGCCCUGAGGGUGAACUACUCCCUCCUCGUCAUGGAGAGCGCCGGGAUGAUGAAGAUGGCCACCGGUGAUGGAUCCCCACUCCGGCAGGGUGACGAAAUAGGGUCCCGAUUGGUUUUUGGUUGCUAUAUAGGCUUGCGGUGGCGGAAUUCCCGAUCUAGAUUAUUUUCUAGAGGUUUGGGGAAUGAACAUGUCAGGGGGGCCCAUGGAGAGUCCACGAGUCACAGGGGCGCCCCCCAGGGGGGUGGGCAAGCCCUCCACCCUCGUCGGGCCCAUGGGACUCCCCUCCAGUAACUUUUUGUCCCAAUAUUUUUUAUAUUUUCCAAAAAAUAUCUCCGUUGUUUUUCAGUGCAUUCCGAGAACUUUUAUUUCUGCACAAAAACAACACCACGGUAGUUCUACUAAAAACAGCGUCAGUCCGGGUUAGUUCUAACCAAAUCAUACCUAAAGCAUGUAAAAAUAUUAUAAACAUGGCAUGAAUACAUCAAAAAUUAUAGAUACGUUGGAGACGUAUCAGUCCCCAAGAGGAAAUAUUUUGAUCAACAGACUAAGAAAUGUUUUAACUGUGCCCGCAGUUGGCGCCGAUGAGGUCGAGUCCCUGAACGCACCCUUGCCCAGGCCAAGAAGGUAGCAGAGGCGAGCAAGGCGGUCGCAGAGAAGCCGACCGAACGCUUAGAGGAGGAGAAGACCACCCGCCAGCAGCAAGAGGCACGGGUGUGUGAGGUUGAAAAAGAGGCCAAGGACGCUAUUGCUAGAUGUGAGUCCUUGGAGCAGAUGAGCUCGGAACAUGCCUUCGAGCUUGCCAAAGCCCAUGAGAGCCUGAAGGAAGCCCGGGCUGAUGCCCGGGACGCUCUCCAAGAAAUCCAGGAGGCGAGGAGUAUUGCGGCUGGUAAGGCCUUUAUUGUGGAGAGUAGGUAUACCAAUAGAAGAUAUAUUUUACUAACCCGAGUUUGGAGUUCUCCAGGCGCCUUUGCCGAUCUGCCAAGAAGCAUUGCGGACGCUGCCAUAUUCUUCCGAGCCGAAGAGGGAAGUUCUACGGAGAAACUAUACUGGUCGCAGUACCUAGCGCCGGAGCUUCUAGUGUCCCUGAGUGACCAGAUGAAGCAGUUGUCCGAGCUACAUACGAUGGCUGAUCUGGCCAUGAAGGACAUGGUAGCCCGUCUGUGGUCGGCCGAAGCCAUGCCUAGCAGCCACUUUGGGCUCGUGAAGAAACUUGUGGAGGCGCUCCCUCGGAUUGUUGCCCUUAAGCGGUCAUACUGUAUUGAGGAUUCUCGGAUGGCCUUUGCCCGUGUGAAGGUUUAGUGGGAGAAGAUGAAAUCCACCGAGGUUGCAACCGCAGGGCCACUUGAGGGCAAGGAACUGUGGCACCCUGGCUCAGAGCAACCGGUUUACCAUGCAUUGCCAGCCCAGACACCAUGUCUUCUGGCAACACACAACAUCUUGGUACAGAAAACAACCGCUUUAUUGAUGCUAGCAGAUCAAAGUUUAUAUUACAACAGGUAGCGAGGCCAAGCGGCACACACGGUGCGGCUGAACAAUAUGUACAUUAUUUAGUGAACAUAAAUGGUGCCUCGAUCAUCACAACUACACGGCAGCGGAACAACGUCAUAGCGGAACUCCAUAGCACAGGGACGCCGAUGUGGACAAUAUCUAGACUCGGACAGCACUCCUUUCCAACGAGACUUUCCUGAAAUCUGGACACGCUAGGUCAGUACAUCGAAUGUACUUGCAAGCUCACAACAAGCAUAAACAUAAUGACAAACAAUAUCAUGAUAAUUUAACCAAUUCAUAAUAAUGCAACAAUAUAUCCAACAUGCUGUGAACAUACUCUUGUGAUAAAAGUCCCUCAGACUACCUUACCAACGGUGAUCUCUCUUGGAUCACAGACAUACCAACCUCAAGGUAUUAACUAGAAACAUCUCGUGAUCAUUCCGGCGAUCACAACCACGACCAAUAUUUGGUCUUAAACGGUGAUCCCGCCGGCGAUCACAACGACGACCAACACUUGGUCUAAAACAAUAAGAUGACCUUUCCGCCAUCAUCAACAGUGCCAAGUUCAUAACUUAGUGUGCAAGAUUUAUUAAAUGUUGACCCAUGGUGUGACCUACUUUCAAGCGUGUCCAUAACCGUGGACUCGGCUAUCGAUAGAUUAAUACACUCUGCAGAGGUAGCGCACUGUACCCACACCACGGAACCCAUGGCCUCGCACUCCCAUUCGGGUGGACCAACGACAUUCCAACGAAACCCUUCCAUUGCCAUGACACUCUCCCGGCCACUCUGACUCACUCCCCACUAGGCUAGUCCUGGGUGGCCCCGUGUCUACCAAAGACACAAUGACCACCGUCGUGGCCAAAACAUAAACGAUCCCACACGGGGACCCCAUAAACUCAACAACGAGCACACAAGGUUAUGGCUGCUUACCGGGCCAGGGUACCGCACGCCCAUAACUUUCCCUCGUUGGAGGCACCGACCAGAGGCAUGACAACGGACCGAAUAAAGGCCUUCCCAUAAAGGCAAAUGUGGUUGCACUGGGAAAAAAACUUGAUUCAGUGGCACCAUUACCCGGUCAACAAUAUAUUCAAGUUGAGUUAUUAACAGUUUCAACUUAAUGUGAAAAUAACCGGUGUCAUAGCAUGCCAUGAAAUGCAACUCUAACAUGCAUCACAUAUCAAUGAAAAUGACUGAGUCAACUAUAUCCACACUAAGCAUAAUCAUCAGCAACUCAUGACACUUCUUUGGUUAAGAUUAAACCUCACUUUAUUCAGAAUCUUUUCUAGCAAAUUUUACCAUUUUUACUCAUGCAAGAAAAUAACUCCACUAAUUAUUUAUAUCCAUAACCAUAUUAUUCUUUUAAUCACCCAAAAUAAAUCAUAGUUUCUUUACCAACUAAGUUCGCCUCAAACUUUCUGUAAAUCAAGCAUAUUAAAUAAAACAAGCAAUUAACAGAAUAUAAUUAACAUAAUAGUGAUUUAAAUGCAUGGAUUAAAUCAUUCACUCAAGUAGAAAAUCACAAAUAUUGUAAUGGCACCAUGAAAAUGUUGCUGUGGCUUGCCUUAGUGCAGAUGAGGUUCACAAGCCUCCAGGUGAUCCUCAACACAAGCCUCACCCUCUGAAAAUAAUUAAAAGCACAAAAAGAAAAUAUCAAGAACCCUUUCGAAAUUCACCAGAAAAUCUAGACAGCAGGGAAAAAAAUCCCAUCUUUGGUGAGCUGCUAGAUUUUUGAACAAAGAACACAAUGCAAAAAGAAUCAAUUCAUUUGGACUUAUGGUUAAAAAGUUGUGGCUGUUUGAAUUUAAAUAAACAGACUGAGGGGGGGGGGGUGACGUCGAAGGCGUAAUGCCUCGGGGCGCCACCACUCAUACCGCUUCGCGCGUGUACUGAGUGGAUGACUAGCGGUCUCCGCUAGUCAGGUGAGGGGGAGAGAGAGAGGGAAACAGAGGACAGCACGGCUUCGUCGGAGCGCACGCCGGUGACAAGGGCUCCUUGGCCAGAACGAGAGGGAGGGAUCGAAAGAGGAGACGGAGGCGCACCUGCCCGUACUCAUAGAGUAGCUAGGGGUGGUCGAACGGCACCAGAAUCAGCCUCUCCUACGGAGGCAGAGAGCAGAGGUCACCGGAGACGAAGACGACGGUGAACGGAGGCGACUCCAGGGGCUCCAACCGGGCAGAACAACACCACCGACGAGCGGAGGAGUCCCUGGAAGAGUUGCCCUGGCCUGGGAGGGGCUGGAACCGCGGAGACAACCCGAGGGGAUCGCCGGCGAACUCGAGCUCGGGGACGGUGGCCCGCGGCCUGCCCGGCCGGGCUACGGCUUUCUACGUGCUUGUGGAGUGUGUGGGAGUGGUGGAUGGUGCUCGAGGAGGCUGGGGAGGGCCCUAUUUAUAGCCGAGCGUCAAGGGGGGUUCGGGCUCCGCCGGUGGACACCUGGCCACGGCACCCGGCAACGAACGACGUCAGUGAGAGGGGGUGAAGAAGACGCAGCUCACGCAAGAACUAUGGGAUAAAGGGGACGAGCAUAGGGGCGAGAGGAAGGUGACGAGCACAGUGCGCACUGCACUAUUGCGUUGGACGGACCGUGCCUAUGCCCGCUGCGGCGAGCUCCGGCGUUGGCGAGCGCCAGGGGGGAGCUAAAAAGGUCGAGACAAUGAUCAUGGUGAAGUUUGGUACGCUCAGGCAGGCGGGGAAGCGAGCAUGCGCGCAACAGAGCACUCGGCGGCACUCAGAGUGCGUCGGCUGCAUGCCUGCACACCUGGACGAACGCGGUCACGCUACAAAAAAAGACACAUCCGUGACAUUUUGGGCCGAACGAAUUUUUUUCUGUCAUACAUAUGACACUUCUAUGACGAUAAUUGUGACAAAACCCGGUAUCAUCAUAGAUGUGGUGGGCUCCUACUUCUAUGACAAAAAAUCAUGACAGAAAAUGGGCUUUUCAUCCUGGGCGGGCCGGAGACGCAGCUGCAUGACAUUCUUUGGGCCGUCCAUGACGGAAAAAACCAUGGUAGAAGCGAGGGGGAGGAUAAUUUUGGGGAGUUGCCGGUUACGGUGGAAGGUCGGGGGCGGAGCGAUGCGCGUUUCUCUCGUACGUACGCGCGUGUGUGCGAGGCGUUGGCUCUAACUGAACCCGAGCGAGGCGUUGGGCUCUAACUGAACCCAAGCAAUUGCACUGCACGCUACGCGUUACUGAACCCGAGCGAUCGAUCGAUGGCUGUUAACUGAACCCGAUGGAGCGAUUCCUUUGCUACUGCUGCUAACUGAAGCCGAUCGAUGCUGCCUCUAGGAUGAACAGUGAGCGUUGUGGGGGGGGGGGUUGGAUGAACAGUGAGUGGUGGCGUUGCCUCUGGAUGAACAGGACCUGUGGUGUGGAGGGCUGGAUGAAUAGUAGACGAUGGAGGGGUGGCCGUGGAGGGGUGGUUGAACCGGACCCUGUGGUGUGGAGGGCUGGAUGAACAGUAGACGGUGGAGGGGUGCCCGUCGAGGGAUGGUUGAACAGUAGCCGGUGGAGUAGCGCACGGUGGAGGGUGGAUGAAUAGGAGCCCGUGGAGGCUGGAGGAGGUCGACGGUAGCCCGUGGAGGCUGGAGGAGGUCGACGGUGGAGAUGAACAGUAUCUCGUGGAGUCCCGUUUUGUGGUACGCCACACCCCUCCCUCCCCACCCCCCGUUUCGACCAUAGCGCUCCAACACAAGUCCGUUUCGUCCGUUUUGCGGUACGCCACACCCCUCCCGAUGAACAGGACCCCCGUUUCGACCGUAGCCCUCCAACACAAGUCCGUUUCGUCAGUUUUGCGAUACGCCACACCCCUCCCGAUCAACAGGACCCCCGUUUCGACCAUAGGAGGUCCGUUUCCUCCGUUUUGCGGUACACCAGGCCCCUCCCGAUCAACAGGACCCCGUUUCUAACGUGGCCGGUCGAACACAAGGGUGUUUCCUUCGUUGUGCGGUAUGCCAGGCCUCGUUUCCAUCGCCUGUUCCGUCCAAGCCUUCCCAAUGAAGACGACCACGUAUUCCGUUCCGACCCAGCCGGUUGGCUCCCCAUGAACACGACGACGAUGCUGUUUCUCCGUUCCGACCCAGCCAUGUACGUAUGUGCGAUAGGCGUUAGAGACCCUGCCCGUAUGUACGUACGUGGCCGUAUUUUCUUUCUUGCACCCUCACCGCUGUACGUACGUGUACAUGCUACGUGCGCGCCUCUACUACGACACGUGCGCGCCUCUACAUCUACGACACGUACGCGCCUCUACAUCGACCAGUAUGUACGUACACGUUCGCGACCAGAAUGACAACGCUACGUACGCUUCGACCAGGUGGGUCCCGACUGUCAGGCACUUCCUUGCGUGCGAAGAUGUAGCUGGUGGGUCCCAGCAGUCAGGGGGGCGAAUCGUUUUUUUUGCCCGGACACACUUCCUUGUGUGCGAAAAUGUAGCUGGUGGGUCCCAGCAGUCAGGGGGCGAAUCGUGUUUUUGCCUGGACGCACUUCCUUGCAUGCGAAGGUGCAGCUGGUGGGUCCCAACAGUCAUGGGGGAAACAUUUCUUUCACGAAAUACUGUGGCCCGUCCGGUGGGUCCCAGCUGUCAGGUGGAGGAAUAAUUAUUUUCCGCGUAAUAAGGAGGCACUUCCUUGCUGCGGACGUGGACCCAGCUGUCAGCCUCUCCACAUACAGUCCACGUCUGAUGGAAGUUGUUCCUUGACCACGUUGACCACGCCGCGCCGAGAGCACCAGGGAGGUGGAUGACGGCGAGGCCUAGGAAGGGUACGCCGAGGAGCCGGGGAAGACGCGGCAGUGGAAGCCCGCGCGGAGAGGAGUACGAGGGUUCACUGGUUCGGCUGCGGUGUGAGGCUGCCGUCGCCGCAGGGCCUAGCCAGCGGUGGGAAUAGUAGGGGGCGGUGAGGCCUGCGCGACAGCACAUCCGGCCAUGGGAAGCAGGAGCAUGCGGCACGACCGACACUGCUUUGGGCGGCUGGAGCAAGAAGACCAGAGGUUGAAGAAGCACUACGGCCGUUGGAUGGACAUUGUACGGUCACUGGAGCUAGAAUCAUUUAUAUUGACUAUGUUGACAAAGCCCUUCAUCCCCGUCAACUUAGUAGGCCCACAAGUCAGCCUCCCAUCAAGGUGGGUCCCAGCUAGCAGGGGGUAUUCAUUUUUUUGUGCGUAAUAAGGAGGCACUUCCGGUGGGUCCGAGCUGACAGCAGGGGGAACGUUUUUUUCACGAAAUACGGUGGCCCAUCGGGUGGGUCCCAGCAGUCAGGGGUAAACAUUUUUUUUCGCAAAAUACUGGUGGCCCGUCUGGUGGGUCCCUGCUGUCAGGUGGAGGAAUAAUUAUUUUCCGCAUAAUAAGGAGGCACUUCCUUGCGGCUGUCGUGGACCCAGCUGUUAGCCUCUUCACGUACAAUAUUCUUCCGAUGGAAUUCGGUCGUUGACCACAUUGACCACGCCGUGCCGAGAGCACCACGGCGGUGGACGACGGCGAGGACUAGGAAGGGGAUGACACAGAGCCGGGGAAGACGCGGCAGUGGAUGCCCACGCGGAGAGGAGUACGAGGGUUCACUGGUUUGGCUGCGCUGCCGUCGCCGCAGAAUAACAGGUGGUGUGGGUGAGUGGAGUGGAGGGAUGGCCUGGCCAGCGGUGGGAGUAGUAUGAAGGCGGUGAGGCCUCCGCGGCAGUACAGCCGCCCACGAGAGGCAGGAGCAGGCGGCACGACCGGCGCUGCUUUGGGCGGCUGGAGCAAGAAGACCAGAGGUUGAAGAAGCACUAUGGCCGUUGGAUGGAUAUCGUACGGUCACUAGUGCUAGAAUCGUUUAUAUUGACUAAGUUGAUAAAGCUCUCCGUCCCCGUCAACUUAGUAGGCCCACAAGUCAGCUUCCCACCAAGGUGAGCCCCAGCUAGCAGGGGGAGUAUUCAUUUUUUUGUGUGUAAUAAAGAGGCACUUCCGGUGGGUCCGAGCUAACAGCCGGGGGAACGUUUUUUUCGUGAAAUACGGUGGCCCGUCCGAUGGGUACCAGCAGUCAGGGGGGAAACGUUUUUUUCCGCGAAAUAAGGUGGCCCAUCCGGUGGGUCCCUGUUGUCAAGUGGAGGAAUAAUUAUUUUGUGCGUAAUAAGGAGGCACUUCCUUGCGGCCGCCGUGUACCCACCUGUCAGCCUCUCCACGUACAGUACUCUUCCGAUGGAAGUCGGUCGUUGACCACGUUGACCACGCCGCACCAAGAGCACCAGGGCGGUGGACGACGAUGAUGCCUAGGAAGGGGACGACGCGGAGCCGGGGAAGACGCAGCAGUGGAAGCCCGCGCGGAGAGGAGUACGAGGGUUCACUGGUUCGGCUGCGGUGUGAGGCUGCCGUCGCCGCAGAAUAACAGCGGGUGUGGGUGAGUGGAGGGAUGGCCUGGACAGCGGUGGAAGUAGUAUGGGGGCGAUGAGGCCUCCGCGGUAGCACAGCCGGCCACGGGAGGCAGGAGCAGGCGGCACGACCGGCGCUGCUUUGGGCGGCUGGACCAAGAAGACCAGAGGUUGAAGAAGCACUACGGCCGUUGGAUGGACAUCGUACGGUCACUGAAGCUAGAAUCAUUUAUAUUGACUAAGUUGACAAAGCCCUUUGUACGCUCCAACUUAGUAGGCCCACAGGUCAGCCUCUGAAAUGGUGCACCCCAGAUGUCAGGGGGAGGAAUCAUUUUUUGGGCGGCCGAAGCUAAGAAUAUCCGAGAUUGAAGAAGAAGCACGACAUCCGUUGGAUAGACAUCCAACAGCCACUGCUACUAGAACCGUGUGUUGACUAUAAUAAGUUGACAAAGCCUUGCAUAUGCGUCAACUUAUUUUUUUUAGGGGACGCGUCACUUAGUAGGCCCACAAGUGUAUGGCAGAGAACUUAUAGCCCAUUUGCGUUUUGUAAGAAUGUACAUCCCAUUUUUGAAUUCUAAUGGAAUUUACAACAGCGCAUUUACAGUUUGUUAAAAGUACAACCCAUUUUCUAGUUAGGACAACGAUUAAUAAUUUCAACCAACCGUUGAAGACAAAAUUCAAUAAAAUUUCCCACAUUUUUAUGGGAUCCGAAAUAUUUUUAUCCCAAAAUUUCUAUUCAGACUAAAUAUAAAUUUGUAUUACGUAAAAAUCCAACAAAACAUUCCGCGCGCAAUAAUGAAAAUUUAAGAUUUUCAAAAUCCAUAAAUAAUAUUUUAUAAACUAAUUUCGUGUUUGGUGCAUUUUUUUAUAGUUACUGCCCAGUUUUUAUAAUUACAUCCCAUUUAUUAUUAAAGCCCAUUUUCCUAUUAAGCCUAAUGCAUCCCUCCUAGGAAAAAUUUGCAGCACAGCGGGGCGGAGAAUAACAAGUUGACCUUGCCUAGGUAUUCCUCAAAAAGACGUAUAGCUGGGCUACCCAUUUUCACCUUGAAAAAAGUAGUAUCUGGGCUGGAUAUCUGGCCUGGGCUAGACGGGCCACAGCCCGCCCAGUUAAUACCCUGCUCUCCUCUGAACAACAACGAAAUCAUCGCCAAGAAAAACUCUGCAGUGCUCACACCUCCAAAACACAAAUACUGCUCGAGCUGCUUGGUCCCAGCUGUCGACCGCACCUUGUGCAAUUCUCUCGUUUAUAUUGACUACAUAGGUUGACAAUGGUGUUGGACCGUGAUGUCAGGAAACCAGGAGAAAGCAAAAAAAAAUAUAGUUGUACAUAAUAAGGAGGCACUUGCGUACGUACGGCUAUGGCCCUAGUGGGUCCCUAGUGUCAUCCAGUCAAAAUAAAGUCAUCUCCUGAAUCCUCAUGUUCGUUGACCAUGUUAACAAUGCUCGGUGCCACGGCGAGUGCAACAACUCGAAGGACAACGGAGAGGGCCUCGCGGGCCUUACGGAGGUCUGAUACAGCGCCCGCUGCUCAUUCAGGAAGCCAGGAUCAUCGGACACCUAUGACCACCUUCGAGAAACUAAGACGACAUGAAAUGGUAAGGCCGCGCUUGGGAGCUCUGGUUUAUUUCAAACCUGUAUUAACAUACAAGUGUAAUUUACUCGUCAUCGGAAGGCCCGAGGUCUGUAAGUAAAACCGGCGGGUUACGCGUGUAAUUUGAGGGACUAGUGUAUCUUUUACGAGCAUUGCUAUAUGGACGAUAUUACCAGACGAUACAUGCACGAUGUGCGUAUCAUGCCAUGCAUGGGCAAGGCUGAAACAGCACCUAACGGCUGGAUUAGCAAUCGUCCGAGUGUCGUUCAGCGUUUUUCUCAUGUGUGAAGUACUUCUGAUAUUUUACUAGUCAAAAUCGACUAACCAAGUGCCUUCGCCCGGGACCAUCUGCUUUAAUUUACAAGUGUCAGUUUAACAAGCGGUUUUGGUUGGAAAACGACGAUCCAAUCACGGCCUAAUAUCAUGAGUUGGUUGGAAGAUCAUAUGGUUUCACGUCUAACCUACCCGACAUGUCGUAUAGGCUAUGAAUGAAACAUCAGACGAUGAACUUCUUACGCACGGAAACAACAGAAGAGGAUGAUCUUCUUAACAAGCAAAUCACUGGCAUUAGAUCGACAUGCAAAACAAUACGAAGCAUUAUUCUCAGGAGGCACGGUGAACAGCUCGUGACGCCGCAUGCCACAACAUUCCAAGCUCAACUUUGCAAUCGAACACAAGGCCUGGAAUUACAUAGACAAUAUUCAGAACAAACUCUUAACACAGGAAUAUCUCAGCAGAGUAACUAUUUACUUCUAAAUUGAACACAGGAAUAGGAAAAAACACUCGACGCUGCUCACAGCAAGGGCGUCCCACUCAAAAAUAUCAAAUGCAUGUCUUCUGGCUAACAUUAAUGAGCAAAUUUUGACAAGAUUUUCCAAUUCCAAUAUAUUGAACUAACGUCUUGUUGCAAACAUCAAUGAGCAAAUUUUGACAAGGUUUUCCAAUUCCAAUAUAUUAAACUAACUUCUUCUUGCUAACAUCAAUGAUUAAACUUUGACAAGCUUUUCCUAUUCAAAAUAUGUAAUGCCUAUGAUCGUGUCCUGUCUUAGCUUCUUGUACUUGUUUGGGCACUUUUUGCCCAAGGCACUCCACGUGUUGUUAAAUUGCCAAUGGUCUCUGCAGACUAGUCAUGUCACCGGUGUCUAAUAAUACUCUAUAAAGCUUCUCGGUCAUUCCUUCUGUAAUGGACCGCAUCCAGUGAAUGCUUCUUUCUGCAAAGUAGAACGACCAACUGGACCCAGUAACGCAGCAGUUUGCCUUGGACACAUUGGCUCCUUUUGUGCAGUUCAACUAAAAUCGAAGUCAGAAUAAAACCGAGCUUUAAUUUUGAGAUCCCUGUAAGCAACAAUAGGUAUAAGGGAAACAAUUACUGAAAAAUAACGGUUGUUGACUUGCCUUAAUGGGAAACAAAGGAGGAGAGGAGCAAUUCUCCAUCAAUGUGAUUCAUUCAUAUUGACUGAGGCAUUAUCUUAACAAUGCCUUGGUUAAACAUGUAUAAAGAACGACAAAGCAGAAAAGUACCAUUCCUAAAACAAUGCAACUGAUUCAUUUUUAAAGAGACAUUAUCUUAACAAUACCUUGGUUAAACAUGUAGAAAGAACUACAAAGUAGGAUAGUUCCAUUCCUAACAAGUGUUGCAGUUUUGAACUAAGAUUCAAUAGUUAAUUAAUUCUGAGAGUGGCAUUGCUUAAUUUUACCAGCGGCAUUAGAUUAACGAAAAGCAUAAACAGUUCCAGGGGAGAGUGGGCGCAACAACAAUAUGUGCUUCCAUCUACUUAUAAAGGGGGUGAUGCAGAGUUUGUUGUAACAAAGCAACAAGCAUCAUGUCUAGGUUGGUCCCAUUUUUGUUCACUACUUAAUGGGAAAAGACAGCAAUACAAUAGCUUCAAUUCAACAUUUAUUUAAAACAGUACCAAUACAAGUAGCACAACAUCUCAAAGCACACUGCACAAUCAUGUGGGUGAAGGCCUGUUGACCUUUCAUGAGAACACCAGGAUAAAAUAUGAAUCCGCUAACACGAAUAGGAAAUCCAAUCUCAUUUUGUGCAGUUGCACUGAAAUCAAGCAAAGUGUUUCGCGUAGCGAAGCAAAAUGUCGCAAUAGCAACAAGUUGAAUACAUAUCAUGUAGUAGAGACCAAGAUUUGAAACAACUCGACAGGAACAAUGGAAACAAAUCUCGAUCUCCUUUUGUGCAGUUCCACCAAAAUUAAGCAAAGUCACCGGUGUGACAUUCAAGUUGAACUGCACAAAACACUCUUAAAACAUAAGUGUUUCGAGUAGCGAAGUAAAAUGUCGCAAUAGCAACAAGUUGAAUCGAUACCCCUGUUUUAACAGAGGCAAAAAAGGAAACAAUUACUUGCCGAUAAAGGAGGAUGAAACAAACGGUGACAGAAAGAAGCAUCUAACUUAUCUUGGAUGGAAACAAAGUAGGAUAGUAGCAUUUCUAAAACGGUAGCAUUGAUUCAUAUUAACAGAGACACUCUCUUGAAACAACAUUCGUUAAAAAAUGUACUUUACUUUUAACUGUGGCAUUGCUUCAAUUUUCCGGCGGCAUUCUAGGGCCUGUUUGGUUCCAAUAAGUCACCAGUGACUUAUAAGUUAUGCAUGUUUGGUUGUCACCUGACUUAUAAGUCAUCUGACAUACCUUCCCACACCAAUCAACAUCAUGUAGCUGGUGGGACACACGUAAAAGGGGGUGACUUAUAAGUUUUAAGUUGGGGUGGAGCAACUUAUGACUUAUAAGUUAGGGUGACUUAUAAGUCGGGUCUGUUUGGCAAAAUAAGUCACUUUUUUCACUAUUCGACUUAUAAGUUGGUGACUUAUUUGGAACCAAACAGGCCCUUAGAUUAACAACAGCAAAAUAGCUGUAUGGCACAUGCUAGCACCAUGUGCGUCCACACGUAUAAAUGGGUGAUGCAGAGUAUGUAGCCAAGCAACAUAUCUGUGUUGCUCCCAUAUUUGUUCUCUUUGAACUUUUUUCCUAUGUGAGGGUAGCAAAUCUAGUCCUGCACAAACUAUCCGACCCCCCCCCCCAGUUUCUUUCCCUUUUCAACAAAGAGAUCGGUUCCUUACAGAUGUGUGUACUGGGUUACCCCCUUUUUCCCUUUUCGACCAACAAAGCGGCUGGAUAGCCAGUUUAUACUACUUUUCCUCCCUCCUUUCCUCAUUGAACCACGUCCUAGAUUCAUGCUCCACCCCACCGCACCUUUCUUUCCUCUUUGAACCAAGACCUAGAUUCGACUACAGAUCGAAAAAGAUCCACAUGUAGCUAGAGCAACGAUGGUUUCAAAGAAAACUUAUACCUUAGGGUCGUCGGGAUGUGGAAAGGCGUGCGGUGGGAGGCCGGAUUUGCCCACACUACGUACGGAAGCGAGGAAGAAGGGGUCGGUGGCCCUCCCGCACAGGCGCUGGGUGAAAGAGAACAGCGCAGCCGACAGUGGAUUGCCUCCCUCGCCGAAGGCGAUAGAGUUAACGUUGCACCUCCUCCCCUUCCCGGUGCGACGGGAUACGGAUGCCUCCUUCACCAGCUGUGAGGGGGAAAGAGACAAGAGGCCAAUGCAGUCUUGUUUAGAUCUGGUGAAGAGAGGGUGAGAGACUGUGAAUAUAGCAAACCCUAGCAAAUGAAUGCUGAGCCUCCAGCGUGUAACAUAUAUGUAUUGCGGCGAGCGUGUGGAGAGUGCAAACCCUAGCGAACAAGCGAUGAGGCUCCCGCUUAUAUAUAUACUAAUGUAGUACGGACUGAGCUCCAGUGCCUUCACUCCAUGUGCUUUUGGUUGUAUGACAGGUGAGCUAGCCACAUUUUGGGCCCACCUGUCAUAAACCCAAAGGCAGGUGCACUAAGUCAAUGAAGCUGCGUCCAUAUAGUACUCUCGUGUGUAUACGACAAAUAUAUAGUGGAGUAGUUUUCUUAUUCUCUCCAUAACAAUCGUUUUAAAUUGUGUAAGUACGAAACAAAACUCUUUAUUUAAUGUACAGAGGGAGUACUACUUCUGAUGAACUAACGAUCCACGCCCACGCGUCCUGGUCACACUUCCUGUCCUUCACGUGUGGUACACUACCCUCCCUUAAGUGAACAACCACACAUGCGCCAAAUUAUCGGAAACGUGUGACAGUUUGUACAAAUAAAGAAUUUUAAUUUCAAUUAUCGGAAAGGUUUGAGAGUAUUACAAAGUUUGACUUUAGUCAAAUCUAAUAUGCAGAGUAAAUAAAAAUGGAGGGCUACUACGUCCAUCCGGGUUUUUAGUACACACUAUUUUUUAAAUCAAAGUUAAUAGCUGGACAAAUAAAAUUACAGGGGAGCUGGAGACAAAGUUGUGAGAAGGCUUAGAAAUCUAUACUACCUCCUUUCCAGUUUAUAGGGCUCAAUUUAAAAAUCUCACCAACCAAGAUAGAUGAUGAGUGGUGGAAUAAUUUUCGUGGUUUGUAAAAUCACUCAAUUAAUGCGCUCAUUUUCCUCAAAGAAUUGUGUUUACCAAUGCAUUAUUUGCAAUGCAUGCAUGCAUGGAGUACAUGCAUUGGUCAAGUUUCUCAUAAUACUUGCAUGCAAUGAAUUAAUGCACCUUGAAAUCUGAGCAUGUGAUGAGGAACAAUCAAAUUGAGACUUAUAAAAUGGGAAACCAAAUUUUUUGAGAUAAGCCCUAUAAACCGGGAAGGAGGGAGUACAAAACUUAUGCUCUUAGUACCAACGUCGAUCCUUCUUCGAGGAAACAUUUGGUUCAUAGCCAAUUGUGUGAUAAAAUUGCUCCAACGUGAAAGACGACUGCGUCUCCAAGGUGAACUGACGAAGGAUAUCAUCUUUGUGCGUAACAAGCAAAGAGCACUGAUGGAAGACAGCGUGUUUUUCAUUUAAAAUCAAUCAGCUUCACCAGCCGACGCAACCAUGAGGCGCGACCAUGAGCAUCGAUAGUUUGUGGUCUAUUUUUUUUGUCCUAGUUUUUUUGUUUCUUGUUGCUACAUUAUAUACUUGUGGGAGCUUAGAUGUGAUAUCCUUAAAUAACAUCUAGAUGUGAAUUGGACAAACUGAUUUUCUAACGUACCAAGAAAUAAAACUCGAUCAAAAACACGCCCCCGCUUCCAGGUCGCGAGAGUCGUCACACACACACACAUAGACAUAGACAUGCAUAUCCGUGUUUACGUAAAAUUCCAUUUCCAUCUCCAUCUCCAAUCAUAUUUGUCCAACUGGCACGUUAUUCACGUUGUUAAUUAUAUACGCAGCAAUAUUAACGUACAACAUCUCUUGUUUGCGCACGUCCGGACCGCUGCCACGGCCGGUCCUGACCAACCCGAACCCUCUUUAUCACCCGCGUGUGCUUCCCGCCCGAAACGGUCAGUGCCGCAUUCAUGCCCGGCUAGAGCGGACGCGACCUCUCACUGGCGCCGGCAUUGAAGCGACACGCCGGCCGAGAGAGCAUCGCCCGUGCCGCUUCCGGGUGCACGCGGCUGCUCCGCGUUCAAAGGUCGCAAUAGCAGGCUACAACAUGCAUGUAAAAAGUUUUUGGGAGUCCGUGCUACAGCUAGCUGUCCUCCCCCAACUCGUCAAUCUCUUCCAGUAGUGCUAGUAGUACUCCAUGGCGUGACCCAUCGACUAGCAGGCGGGAAAGUUAUCGUAUACUCGGUAUGCGGUGAGUGGCAUGCCGAGCGACAAUGUGGGGUCGAGCCGUGGAGGAGGGUGAGACACGAACACGACAGACGUGAUUUACUGUGUGAUUUGACUGCUCCUUAGUGGCCCCUACACGUACUCCCCCUACGUGUAUGCAACAGUCACACGUACACAUGGACGCAAAAACGCGCGCGACGUCCUAAUGCAUGCAUGUCCGAGCACAUGACGGAACACACACGGUCACGCUAAGUGCUCAGCCUACAUGUGCAUGCACACACAUACUCAGUCAGGGUGAGCUAGUGACCGUAUAAACACCGGAAUAUAUAUAUAUUGAGCACAAUGAGCGUAUUAUGAAGUCCACUGACCGUAUUUUUACAAAUAUACAGUGACAGACCGUGUAUUUAUCUCGUUUGAAAGUAAUCCAUAUUAACCGGAGAGGAGGCAGUAUGGACUAGCAUUACUUGCGCGCGGUGGCUCGCAGGACAAGGAGAAACUUUUGACUAAUGCAAGCUCUCCCUCGCUCAGGCGGUGGACGUGCAACAGUUAAUUCGAUGUCAGAUUGCCAGAAGCAUACACUAUACUACUAGUUCUACUAUUGUUCGACUUCCCGAAUAGGCGAACAACCAAGCGCAAAGUUUACUAAUAUAGUCUAUAUAGGUACGUACUAUACUAGUACUAGGAACCGGUUGGAGGAGCGUCUGCACUCUUAUUGUAAUUUUAAAAUGUGAUAAAGCAAUCUUCAACACAUUUGGUUAUCUUCGAGGGUUCUCGCAUGUGAUAAUGGAAGUUGAUUGCAUGGAACACUCGCCCCAAUUCUCGCUUAAUUCUGGCUCAUAUCCUGUUACAAAUAGUAGCGCUCGGUAAUAUUUCAUCUUUUUUUGUUAUUCAGCAUGUAAGCAGGUCAGCAAACCUUGCGGCGCAUCUUCGUGCGAACCGUGCUUGCUGCACUUUGAAUGUGGCCGAGAGCUGGCUUGAUGAAACACCUCGCUUCCUACUUCUUUUUUUACGGGGUACCUCGUUUCCUAGUGACCAGUGUCUUGGUUGAUCGUCCUAAGAAUGCUUAUAUAUGAAUAAAGCUCUCUCAUUUACCUGCAAAAGGGAUUGAGACAUAUUAACCAGAAAGGAGGGAGUAUGGACUAGCACUACUUUUUGGUGUGUCCCGUCAACUCGCGGAACGAGGAGAAGCUUGCAGGACAAGGUGAAGCUCUCUUACGCCUUUUGACUAAUGCAACCUACCCUCAGUCCAUUCGGUGUCAGAUUGUCAGAGGCAUACACUGUAGUACCCAACAUGAGGAGUACCAUCAUUGUUCAACUUCACGAAGAGGCAAAGAGCCAAGCGCAGUAGUACGAGUAGUACUACUACUAGAACCGCAUGGUGGAGCGUUUGUACUCGUAUUUCUUUUUAUCUCUGAUAAAGUACACGUUUAUUCCGGAGAAGGGCGGAAAACGGCAGCCCAACAUCAACUUGUAAUGAAUGAUAUCGAUCAACCAACCAUGCUCGAAUAUAUCUUGGCCUCCAUGCGAACCAGUUUGUGUGUUCUCGCUCCUCGUCUCUCUCAAGGAACGGCGGGUUGGCUCUUUGCCAUCAAUUGAGAUCGGUUUGCUCACACUCCUGUCCCACAUGUCAGUGACAUGCCAAGAGGAGGUGCGUUGACCGACUGGCCAUACGCGUACUUGGUUUUGAACCUUCAUACUACUCCUCCCUCCGUCACAGUUUACAGGGCGCGCUUCAUUAUGAUGCAUUUCUCUCAAUGCAUUUCCACCACCAGAGAGACUUUAGACGCGUUUGGUUUAAUGCUCAAUUAAUUAGGGCAUGGUAACCGCAAUCAAGUCCACAAUUUUCUCUCCAUGUAACUACGGAAUGGAGUAAGUGCAUGCAUGUGUGUACCUGGGGUGUUAGCACUGCAUGCAUGUGUGUACGCAUUAUUCUCUCUACUAGUAAUAGACGCCGUGCUAUAACUACCAAUGCUAUUUUUCAGGCCGAUCGCUAGUCGCCUUGGUCCCACAGAUCUUUUUUCUUUUUUCUGAAGCGCGUUGUAUAAACAGUGACAGAUGGAAUAGUAUGAGCUGAUUCAAAGAAGAGCGUAUUGAUGGUUGCUUCUUCAGAGCAACUUACAGUGCGAAAGGUGGGGCUUACGAUUUGACUGCUCAUUACUCACUAUUAAUGCGGCGGAACGACCGGGCUGAGUCUCCCAUGCGGUUGUGCCCUACCCCCUCGGUUCUUAAAUAUACUCCGGAGUAUGUUUGUCUUUCUAGAGAUUUCAACAAGUGACUACUCAAAUAUUUGUCUUUUUAGAGAUUUCAAAUGGUCUGGCACAUACAGAUGUAUAUACAUAUUUUAGAGUGUAGAUUCUCUCAUUUUGUUCCAUAUGUAGUCACUUGUUGAAAUCUCUAGAAAGACGAAUAUAAUAUUUAGGAACGGAGGGAGUACACAUAUGAAGCAAAAUGAGUGAAUCUACACUCUAAAAUAUGCCCGUUUGAAAUUUGUAAAAAGACAAAUAUUUAGGAAUGAAUGAGUAUAAUUUUGUGCAUGGCACAUGGACCCGGAUGAUGAAGAGGCUUCUGGCAAUGCUAUCAAGCUUCCAUCAUUUGUUUACAUAAUUGAGAUACUAUACAAAUAAUUUUCUAGCAAGACAUGAAAUUGUACAAUGGUGUGAGCUUUCAGCUUCUGUUUCGCGUGUCUUGCCAUUGAUGCUCUUUCGGAAACAAUAAAAAACUAACUUCCUUGCUAAUGCAUGUCAAUUAUUAGCACAUCAGAGCUAAUAAUUACAUCACAACUGAAGACAGAGUUGUGAGAAGGUGUUAAAUUAAAAUUUAUCCAUGCUUUCAUUGGCAGAAACGUCCCCCAGCUCUGUCUAAAUCAACAAGGCAUGUUGGGAAAAAAGUAGCUGUCUGGAGCAUGCAACAUUCCAAUCAUUUUGUGCAGUUCCACUAAAAUAGAGCUGAGCGUCCCUGUUCCAAAGAUAUUAAGUGUGAUUACGAUAAUAGAGGACUGCUGAUGAAACAAUAAACACAUAAAUAGAAGCCGGUCACCUUUGCAGUCUCUUUUAAGACUAACUAGUUGGAGAAGAUUAGGCUCGGAGUUGGAUGAGGAGGAUAGAGCAAAACCAAUCUCCCUUUGUGAAGUCGCACUGAAAUGUAGAGAUGUUGCCCAUGUGACAUUUUAGUAUAACUGCACAAAACACUCUUAAGAAAAAAGUGAUUUGUGCAGUUCACCAAAAGGUCACAAUAGCAACGAGGUGAAAUGGAUAGCCCUGUUUGCAAAAACGAGGUAGAAAGGAAACAAUUAUUGGCCAAUAAUAGUUGAUAACACAUGCGACGACAAAAAAGAAGCAUAUUCCUUGCCCUAAUGGAAGAUAACAACACGGUUGUGUUUGUCUAAAAUGGUGUGAGGACGAGAAUGCAAUAUGGAAAGUACGCUGGACGAGCUACGUUUUGGGCAAAGAACUAUAGAAGAUCCACAUGUAGCGACGUGGGAAGACGGCAGUGGAGCAAGGCCGGAGGGGAUACCUGGAGGUCGUCGGGAUGUAACUAGGUGAGCAGCGGCGGCCGGAAUCUGCGAGCACGUGGCGUAGGCCCUGCCGUGCCGGAGCUUGGUCAGAGAGAACGGCGUGUACCGCAGAUUGGGACGUGCUGCCUUGGUGCCGUUGAACGGAGAAACGAUGCACUUCCUCCCUUUCCCCCAGUGGACGGGAUGCGGCCGGAUCAGAACGGUGAGAAAGAGAGAGAGAGGCCACUGCACUCCCUUUCCCCCGGCGGAUGGGAUGCGACUGGAUCAGUGACCAACGAUGAGAGAGAGAGAGGCCACCGCAGCCUUGUGUGACAUACUCUGAAGAUCGACAAACCAGGCACGCAAGGCUCCAUUGUAUAUAGUGAGAGGACUACCUUUUUCUCCAUAAAAAUCAUUUUAUAUUCUGUGUACGUGCCAUUGAGCGCUAUAACUUUAUUUAAAAAUAACGCGGCAACGCGUCAAGUCGAACUUUGUUUCGUGCAUGCGUGGUACACGACCUCCCUAGGUAAACAACCGCUACAGGCGUUCAAAUUAGCACGUGGGCUACCAUUUCGUAAAUAAAUGAGCUCCACCGUGUACCCGCGCGGGUGUGGCUGGGCACGAAGCAUGAGUACGUGCACGGUGCACCUAUUCUCUUCUUGUAUACGUACACCACCUACGUGGGGUUGUGUGAGAGAGAUACAAACCUAGAGAGAUAUAGUGUGUGGGUUCUUGAGAGUUUUUUUUGAGGGGGGAGUUCAAUCAAAAAAUGUAACAUACACAAUGUGUGUGAAAUAGAGUCCUGGAUAUAACAUAUAUAUAGAGGGGGUGAUCCACGAGAAGAGAGUGGAGGUAUCACCGGCUUGAGGUGUCCAUAGAAUCGAAAAGAGGGAUGAUGUGUGUGUGUGUGCACACGCGAUCGAUAAAGAGUGCCAUCGAAUUUGUGUGUGCCCACGUCAAAGAUAUAGAGUGGCUGGCCUACUGGAACGUGAGAGGGGACAUGUGCAGUUUGUCUCUAUGGCAUGGAUACCUACCUGCAGCGCUCGACUAUCGGUGUGUGGUGGGGGAAGAGGGAGGCCCAAUUAACUAUAGAGGUACAAUGGCUGGUAUAUGUGUGUAGGAGGAGAGAGGCCUACCUCAUGUAUUAAGGAGAUCGAUCUGCCUCAUGUAUUAAGGGAGAUGGAUCGGCAUCCAUGCAUAUGUUGGAGGGGGUGGUAGUGGAGUUGCUUCUAACAAGUGGUGGGAUAGGCUUGCUAGACAAACGGAGGGCACGCCCGCAAUAUCAAUAAGAGAUGAGAUGUCUGCUUGUUGUCUGUGCACGUGCGUGUGAGAGACGGGUCAGGAGGCAUGCACGAAUGAUGAGGGGGGACGAUGUGGCUGUGGUAAGCAGACAUAACUACAUAGGAAGAUCAAUCGCCCUUUGUUAGAGAAAGGAGAGACAUAACUUGUGAAGUACGUCGAUCGAUGGGGGGGUAGUUAAAGUCGAUCCAGGUAUAUGUUGGGAGAUCGAUCGGUAUACAUGCAUGUGUGUGUUAGAAGCAAACGAGGCACGAGGAGAAGGAUAGAUAUAGAGGGAUGCAUGUAGGAGGUGGUACGAGAGGCAUACUAUAUCGAGCGGGGAGGAGUGUGCGAGUACGAGAACAAUGAAAAGAGUGGUGGGAGUGAGGCAUGGACGGUGACAAGAGAAGAGGGGAAGCUUGUGUUUGUGCUAGGCACACCUGGCUAGAGAGGCAUAUCGAUCGAUGUGUGCCGUAAAGAAGGAGCUAGGGGGCCUACACACACCAUGGGGUGAACGACCUAAAGUGAAAAGAUGAAUUUGCACGAUGGAGCUAGAGAAUGCUGAGGGAGGGUGAGAGGGACGCGGGCGUGUGCAUGCACAAGAGAAAGUUAGCGCUAGCUACAAAAAUAAGAGGGUUGUGUGGGUGUAAAAGACGAAUAGAGAUCAUAUAUACUUCAUUAUAAAAAGCGAAUUCGGAUAUUUGAAGAAUUUAUCAAAGUGUUUUAAACCGACGUAUGUGUGAAUAUAUAUAACGGUGAUACACAUGGUGUGUUUAUGAACAUGUUAUACUACAUUUAAUAUAUUUUAUCUCUACUCUUAUAAAAAACGGAGUUGUUGAUGAUGGUGUGCCUGCCAUCCUGCAUUAUAGGUCGUCCGAUUUAUAUCUAGCGGAUAGCAAGGAAACUAUGAUGGUUGAAGUUGGCAACAACCAUGAUCGUGGAUUCUUAUUGAAAUAGAGAAACAAAUUCAAAUUUAGUUCGAAUUGCAGCGGUAGUAUAGACAUUUGGAAUGCACUAAAUAGUUUGGUAUGAGUAGGUUACAUGCAUUAUAUAGCAAAGCGAAAAAAAUUAAUCGGACAUAACAUGGAUUCAUACUCCCUCCUUCCAUCUAUAUAGGGUGUAAUGAUAUUUUUAAGACCUCCUUUGACUAUUGACAAGAUUAAUAGUACAUGACAUGCACAAUGUGAAAAUUAUAUCAUUGAAAGAACCUUUCACAGAUGAAGUUAACGGUGUGCUUUGUGUAAGUUCCAUGUCAUAUAUCAUUGCUCUAAUAUUUGGUCAAAGUUAGCAUCGAAAAACGCAUUAGGCCCUAUAUAGAUGGAAGGAGGGAGUAGCUUUGAAUAGCAUUUGUAUAGCAAAACGGGGCAAGACUCUCUCUUUGUGUGGUGUGAAUAGUUUUAUUUUUUCGUUUUCUUUUUGGUUGAGGGAAGUGUGAGUUGAUUUGGUACGUACAAGUACAAUAUUACUACAUGUUAGGCUUGUCCCUAAAAUUCAACCCGCGUCUUGUUAUAUCCCGAAAAUUCAGAUAUCGUGCUCCCGAAACUGGCGCCUUCACAACCUGCGCCUUGCUAUCCCGAAAUUACAAUGCGCACGAAAACUCCCUCCAGCUGCCAAAUCCCGACACGCGAAAUCCCCCUUCUAACCCUGAGCCGAAAGGGCCGCUAGUUCAAAUCAGUGGGGGGGUACUUUUGUAGCACACCCUACAUUUUGGACAAGCGCGUCCCUAAGUAAUGCUUCACCCCCUCCCAUCGCCCGCUUUUCGCCAUUCGAAAUCCCAGGCCACCAUAACCUCUCCGCUCCAGCCAUGAAACCCCACCCUCCUCCGUCCGCCACGUCACCGCUGCCCAGCCGGAGCCUCUUCCCCGACGACGUCAUUCACCGCAACAGCUCGAUGUCCCUCGUGCACCUCCCCGAAUGAGGAUCCGUCGUCCAUCUCGCCGUCCCGCCGGAUCAGCCGCCCCGUCCUCCACCUCCAAGGAGCUGCCCCGACAAUCACCUCGUAUAUCGCAGCUACUUCAUCCCCGCAGCACCGCCUUAACCUGCUCCACCGGAACCGCAGCAUCCUCACCAACUCCUCGGACGAAGCUGAGGCCUACUCGGCGCCACCAAAGAGGUUGUACACUCAUCGCAUUGCACCUUCUCCUUAACUCGACCUCCCGGCGCCGACGGUGCUCCAUACCGCACCGCCAUGGAGCGGCUACCUUGAAGCCGGCGCCGCGGGCGACAUCUCCACGGCGGCUCUCCCCCAGUGCGAAGCCCCUUCGGCGACGGCGUCCAUACCAGCCGGAUCUGCUGCUGCUGCUCCGGCUCUCGCUCGCUCACUCGCGCUGCUGCUGCUGCUCCGGCUCUCGCUCGCUCGCUCGCGCUGCUGCUACUGCUCCGGCUCUCGCUCGGUCGCUCGCUCGCCCAGCUGCUGCUGCUGCUCUCCCCCUCUCUCGUGCUGCUGCUCUGCUCCGAUUAAGCCACACUUCAGUCGACUGAAUUGACUUUUGGGUCAGUCGAUUUUCAGGGGUUGGGGGGGAGGGCUCGCCGGAGUUAAGGAAGAACCACCCGCCGGAGAAGUACAGUCUGGUUCGGGGGGCCUGCCGGAGAGGUACCCCACUAUCUAUCUUAGGGUUCAUGGUGGAGGGGGGGCCUAGAGGGCUGGCCGGGGUGUCGGUGGCGAGUUGUUUCGGGGCGGCGAGGCGGCGCUUGAGCCGGCGGCGAGGCCGGUGGUGGCAGGCGGCUCAGGGGUGUGCAGGUUGAAGAUGAACUGCAGGCCCUCCCUAAACUACAUGUCAAGUGUCUCUCUGCUACCAUUGCAUUCAGUCUCGACAUUAGCAUUCAGAUUCCACAGUUAAUUUCAGUUUCGACAGUUAAGUUCAGAGUCAACAGUUUUUACCUCAUCUAUUGUAGUCAGGUGGUUUUUGGUGAUGUUAAUUUUACAUCCAUUUUUCAUCAUCUAUUGGAGAUGCUAUUAGAAUCCCACUUGAGAUUGACGAUGUCUGUCUUGUGUUGCUUCAGCAUUGACCUCUUACGGCUCACUGGAGCUGCUCCAACGACAGAACGAUCCAUCACAACAGAGCAGUGCCCUAGACGCCGUCUACAGAUUCCUCAGAUCUUCCUCCACACCUCCGACAGCCACCUCUGCCUCAACUGCUUCAGCGACCAACCCAAUGAUGCUGAGGUCGACACGGCUACGGCAAAGAGGUUGUACACUUGUUGUGUUAGUUAUUACUAUACAUUCACGUCGAUCCAUUAGGGUUAUUUUGGUUCAACGGAAAAACGUUGAUCCACUGGUUGUUACCAUCACUCUAAAUUUCUGCAUGCUCUCCUUACAUAAUCUCACCAUAUUUUUUUCGUAUGCAUGUCAGAUAUUCUACACAGUCAUGCUGAACAUGUAGAGAAAAAGAGAAGAGUUUUGCGCGGCAAUACAAUGUCAUGCAGACAUUGCUCCAUGGUGGGUUCAAUGGCAAACCCUCCCCACCCCUCUCCAGAUUGUAAUCCAGAGGAAGAUAUCUGUUCUGAGGCGUAUUCAGACACCGCUGACCACUCCUAUUUACCCGCCAAGGUGUUUGCUCUACCUUGGCAUGAUGAUGUUAGUCAUAUCAUGCAUAUGUUGCCUUGCAGUGCCUACUUUUGACAUCAUAUAUGUCAUCUGCUUAGUUUAGACAUGUUCUGUAAUGCCACCUAUUUAGUUUCUAUAUCAUAUAUGGGAAUUAUGCAGUCUCAUGUCUUUUAGCCAGCCAUAAUAUAUGUGAAAUGUGCAAUGCCAUCCUGUUUAACCAGGCAUCAUAUAUUUGAAUGAUAUCUUGCCCAUCCUUUUCUUCAUUACAUUUCCAUUUGUCGACAAUGUUUGUACAUUAAACUACUUUUCCUGUGAAUCGGCCAUUUGGGUGGGAGAUGGAAAAAUCUGGAGUGAAAACAAGGCCUUCAGAGCAGACAGUGCUACCUGUCGAAGCAGAUCUCUUGUUGGGUCCCGAUAGCUCCUCAGAGAUGGAUUUAGAGACAGAUGACCAGUCUUAUUCCCCCACUGAGGUGUAUGCUCUAACUUGGCAUGGUUAUACUACUGAUAUCAUGCAUACGGUGUCUUGCAUUGCAUAGUUUAGACAUCAUAUACACAAUAUUCAACACCAUGUUCUUAGUUCAGACAUCAUAUCGAAUGCCCUCUAUUUAGCAUAUAAAUCACAUAUGUGAAUUAAAUGAUGCGAUCCUGAUUACUUAGAUAACAUGUAGGUGAAUUAGGUCAUGCGAUCCUGUUUAGUUAUUCAUCAUAUCUUUGAAUUAUGUUAUGCUAUGCUAUCAAGUUUAGAUAGACAUCAUAUAUGUGAAAUUAUGUCAUGCUAUCCGUUUUAGUUAAACAAUAUCAUGUCAACUAUUUCAUGCCCUCUUUUUUCCACAGUAUCUAUUGCAUCCGUCUCAUACAAUGUCUGUACAUUCAACUAUGUUUCCUGUUUAUCAGCCAUUUGAAUUGGAGUGGGUGAUGCCAGUAUCUAGCGGAAUAAAAACACGGUCUUCAAUUAAAACAGUGCUACCUCUUGGUGGAGAUAGACCCUGGUUGUACAUGCACAAGAACCAGCCCUACCACACAUAACCCAAACUCUCGCAGAUUGUACCCCUACUGCGAUGGACAGAGAACCAGCUUCACCCAAUCUAACCCCAACCCCAGCCGAUAGUAACCCAGUUCCUGUUGACACAGCACCAUCUCCACCACAGAGCUCCCAAACAACAGCAGUUAGUAAGGCAGCUCCAGUGCCCAAAGGGCCAGUACUAUCACGGCGAACCCCAACUCCACCAGUUAGUACGCCUAUUCCUGUGGAGGAAGCACAACCAGCCAGUCGUAGUUUAGCAUCUAUCGCAUUUGAUGUUGUUAAAUCGUAUGUGCGUAUCUUCCCAUCUUGGAAAUAUUAUACUGAAGAUGAAGGAAAAUGCCAGUUGCAGGUGUUUGUCCAGGAGUUAUGUGUAAGUAAUGUUAUUCAUGGCAAUUACUUUGCUUCGUCCCAUAAAUCCUACCUCCAUGGUGGUUAUAAUACAACCAAUUUUCCCAUUUUUCUCUAUAGAGAAGGACCGAUUUUGAAACUCAGGAUGAGGUACCCUGUGCUAAUACCUCUGCUAUCUUCAAGAAUGCUUGGUGGCAGUAUCGGAAUUACCUGAAGAAAACGUACUUCACCGGCAAAGAAACUCAUCAAAUUCCCUUACAUUCUCCUGAGACACAUUUACUGGAGGAUGACUGGGAACGCCUUGUUCUGUACUGGUCCCGAACCAAGAAUGUGGUAAGGUCUAUGAGCUCAUUUUCUAUUUUAAGUAUUUUAUUCUUGCAUCUUACUGUACUCUGUUCAUGCAGAACAAGUGCCUAAACCUGAAGAACAACUGUUCUAAUUUAAGAUUCCAUUGCUAUCAUAGUUCGAAAAAGCGCUAGGCAUUAAUUGUGCGUUUUGCCACCGCCUUGCGCUUUACUGACCAAAGCGCAUGCUUAUGCGUAGUUAUGCACAGAUUAUGCAUAGUUAUGCGCAAUGCGUUUUGCCAACGCCUAGAGCCUAGGCGCGCUUAAGCGCUCGCUUAGGCGCGCCUUUUUUAACUAUGAUUGCAUUGCUCUUGUAUCACUGUAUUUACUGAUACGAACUUAUUUUUAAAUUGAAGGAUCCAAUCGAAACUCCAAUGGCACAACAGGUAUGUUCAUGCAUGUUUCUUUAACAGGUUUGCUCUUAUCAAUAGCUCUGUUGAUUUCAAUUUCAAUUGUGUAUAUAGUUGAGUUUCAAAUCAUGCACAUUACUAGCAUCACAACAGAGCCAAUAGUGUUGUUGUACAUGUAGACCCGUGGUACCCAUCUGAAAUCUUGUUGUGCCGUGUAGUUUCCCACGCUUUGUAUUCUUUCACUGCUGCUUUGUCUUGAACUGAUAUGAUUUGAACCGUGUCUCUAUUUUGAUUUGGCAAGACAAUGAAGUGACCAUAGGACAUAGAUAUAUGUUUUGAUGCUUUUAUUAUGUACUAGUACUUGGCAGUAGAAGACUUGGUAGUUUAAUCCUGUCCACCUUACUAAUGAACUGGUUCACCGAAAUGAGUUUCAUAUACUAGUACAUGCUAAACUUGUUAUGUGUCUGCUUGUUUCUUCUUUUAGAAUGCUGACAGAAUAUUGGGGAAGAGUGCCUUAUUAAGAAAUGGUAAAGGAAGUAAUGCAGAUAAGGUUCAGGAUAGUGACACAUCCUUGUUGGUCUCCAACAAAGCUGAUAAAACAGCUAAGGAAGACUAUCUUGAAGAUAGCGAGACAACCCCAAAGUCCUGUCUUGGUUUAGUGUUCGAGUUACUGGCCACUACCGCAUGCACAAGCUAUUCAAACUCACUGUCUGAAUCAGUUCAGUUUCUUGAGUCUCAACUACAAGCUGAAAGACAUCGAUCAGCUGUGCUGCGACAAGAAGCGAAAGGACUGCGGAAGUCCCUGGAGCAUUCAGAUGCAUACUUACUGGUGCAACAGCAAGCGUUGGAGGAUUUUAGCGCCAAACAGGACAAAGCUAAUCAGCUUGCUAAGCUUAUUGCCAGCAUGGUGGAUACCCAGGAAAACAUUUCUUGAGCUCUUCCGAAGUUGUUUCAGUUAUGCUCUUGUUUUGCUGCCGCAUUUAUUUGCACUGGUGGCCAAUUUUGACGGCCAAGUGUAUGUAAUAUGAUGCUUUGUUCCCUAUAUUUGCACUGCUGGCGAACUUUGAUGCCCAGUGGAUGUAAUAUGUGUAAUAGCGGUAAUAUGCUAGCCUUAAUUGCUUGCUUAUUUAUUUCCUUAUUUUCUUGUUUAGUUGUUUGCUUGUAGUCACUGCAGUUCUUUUUCUGUGUUUUUCUAGUGGCGACAAUAGCCUAUUUUUUGUAACUAGGCUAUAAGUGCAUCUAGUGCCCCUUAGUGAUUUUGGUGUAUCGAAGACUUAUAGGUUAAGGGACUAAUGUGUUUAUGAGUGUCCACAGGUCUAUAAGUCUAUGAGGAGUUUGAUAUUUACAGAGAAAGUCCACCCCUAAAAAUGAAGUUCUUCGACUGAAGACUUUGAUAUUCUGAAGACUCUCUGAAGACUUUGAAAGUGAAGAAAUUGGUGUGACCUUGAAGACUUGGUAUUCAAUUGAGGAACAUGAAGCGUGAAGACUUUUGUUUUUGUAGUUUCAUUUUCUCUUUCUUGAGUCAUAGGAAACACCGUACUGUUAAAGGAGGUCGAGGAAAUACUAAGGAAAAAUUUCCAUGUGAUGCUCAACUCAAAAUCCUACACCUACCAAUCCCUUCAAGUGAAGCCUUUGGAAAUCUCAUACAGUUCAGUCAAUUUCUUCAGUGACAGAGACGAAGUUCUUCUGGUUGCUAAGGAAUUUGUUCUGACUGAGGAGUUAGGAAUUCGCCAGUGCGGAUUGCCUACACAGUGAGGAACAUGAUAGCCCUGAGGAAUUUGAGAGUCAAAUUUCCGACCGUUGCUGUGCUGCGCGCCAGCUGUCCCAAAAUAUCUUAUCCACCUAACGGUCAUAUCAUUGAAGGGCAUUUAUGUCUUAUCAUGUUGGGCUGCUCCCUAGGCUAUAAAUAGCCGCCCCCUACAACCACUAGCUGGUUGGCUGCUUCGAGAGAACCUGACACUUGUCAUUUGAGAGCAACCCAUCCUCCGAGGACUUUGAGUGAAAAUCAUCGAGUGAGGAAAAACCCAAAAACCAAACCCCUACAAACCCAAAGUGAUUGAGCAUCACUAAAGAGAUUGAUCCUGCGUGGAUCCAACACUUGUUACCUUUGAAGAUUGUGCUUCUUCGAGACGGUUAGGCGUCAUGGUCUAGAGCAUCCAAGAGGAAUUGUGGAUCGCCGAGUGACCAAGUCUGUGAAGGUUUGGAAGUCGCCUGAAGACUUACCACGAGUGAUUGGAGGAGGUCUGUCUGACCUUAGUUCAAGGAGAAUACGGUGAGGACUUGGUGUCCUGAGCUGCGUUCUCAGCGACUGGGUGUCCGAGACUGUGUGUCCUCGAGUUUAAAUACUCAGCCGCUCCAACCAGAUGUACAACUGAGACAACAGUUGGAACUGGUCUACCAAAUCAUUGUCUUCACCAACCUUCCUGGUUCUAUUCCCUCAACUCUUUCAUUUCCUCAUUACUGUAUUGAGUGAUUGUUUGUAUCUGUGUUUGAAGACUUUGACUGAAGACUUUCUCAAUUUCCUCAGUUCAAUUUCUUCAGUCUACUUGUCUUCAUCUUGUGUUAUCCUGUGACUACACUUUCUGUACUCUGUGUUUGUCUUCAUUUCAUCAUGAUGACUAAGCCUGCAUUCUGUUAUGCUUACUUCUGAGUACUUAUUCUGCUGCAAGUAGUUCUUCGCUAAGGAAUUUCCUCACCGGCAAAUUCCUCAGUGAAGAAUUCUUAAAAAUCGCCUAUUCACCCCCCUCUAGUCGAUAUAACGUACUUUCAAUUGGUAUCAGAGCAAGGUACUCCCUUUUUCUGUGUGAUUUUGGUUUAACCACCUUGAGUUUUAGUUAUGUCGACCGCAGGUAUGAAGAAAGUGACAUGCCCUAUCUUUGACGGUCAUGAUUAUCCCAAGUGGAAGGCCAUGAUGAGGAAGCGCCUCAUGGCAAUGGACAGCGAGCUGUAGACCGUCACUGAAAUUGGUCUUACUGAUCUGUGCAAGUCGGCAAACGCAGAUGAUAUUCGCAAGUACACUCGACUUGACAUCAUGGCGAAGGACAUCAUCUGUUCCUGCCUAUCCAGAGAUGAAUUCAAGCGCAUUAUGCAUCUUUGCAAUGCGAAGCUUAUCUGAGACCGAAUCUCUGAUGUCUAUGAAGGUCAUCGAACCCGUCAUGAUCCUUGGUUUGAGGACUUCAAGGAAUCUCUCAAAACGAUGACUUUCGAACCAGAAUCAUCAUCUUCUGCAUCAUGUCUCAUGGCAAAGGGUGACAAGGUAACCGAAUGUUCCUCAUCCGAGUAUAGUGACGAUGAAUCUGAUGAUGAUGGAUCUGAUGAUGAUAUUGAACCGAGCUAUACCAAGCUUGUUUGUAUUGCCACCAAACAACAACAUGCCUUGGAAAAGGUUCAAAACAUGUUAGGUAAAAGUGAUGAUAUGUUAGGUGAAGAAAUGGAUCGCACUAAUGCCCUGACUGAAAAUCUUCAGAGACUUCAGUCUAGGUUUGACAGCCUUCAAGGUCAUCAUAACACUCUCUUGACUGAUCAUGAGAAACUUUCUUAUGAAUUUCUUCAAAGAAAGCAAGAUCUUGAGAAGCUAAGAGUGAGUUAUGAAGAUCUUCAGAAGGAGCGCGAUUCAUUACUUGCUCAACAAAUCAGAGCUUCUCAGGAAGAAUCUGUUCCUCCAUGCUUAAAGUGCAUUGAACGUGAAUCUGCUAAUUCUUCACCUGAAUGUUCAAAUGCUUCAACUGUUACAAAUUCUUCACCUGCUCCUGCUAUCACUAAUUCCUCAUCUGAGGACAUUGGUAGUAUCACUGACGAUGCAGGGCUGAAGGAAUUGUACAUGACAGGCAUGUACAAAAGCCUCAAAGGGCAUCAGACUCUUUGUGAUGUGCUUAAAAAGCAGAUCCUCAAAAGGAAUCCUAGGAAAGAGGGUAUUGCCUUUGAGAGGAAACUCAAUGCUGAUGGAACAUAUUGGAAGCCUGAGCAGUACCCCAAAACCUCAUGGGUUGCUGCAAAGGGACCUCCAGUUGAUCCAUCUAACUUAUCUGGCUUUACAUGUUUAUCUCCUCAUUCUUCUGAUGAGUCAUUUGACUCCAACUAUAAACUGUUCAAAAAUCAGAACGGUGAAGUAUUUGCUAGAUAUGUUGGCACUAACUGCAGGAACGGUUCCCCUAUGAAGAAAAUCUGGGUUCCCAAGAAGUGCGUUGAAAGUCUUCAGGUGAAUGUCCUCAUGACACCACCUGUGAAGAAUAGGAACCCCAGAUCAAACUCUUCAUAUGGACCAAAUUCUUCAUAUGGAUCCAAGUCCUCAUACGGACCAAAUUCCUCACGUGGAUGAAACUCCUCAAAAUAAUCAAAGUCCUCAUAUGAUUAUCAUCGUGCUAACAACUCUAUUUCGCAGGGUAGAGCUAAGGGCUAUGAAUAUGUGCAUUAUUCUUCAAACCAAUAUGUUCAUAAGUCCUCGAAGAAUUUCUCUGCUUAUUCAUAUGCUUACCCUAACCCCUCUUAUGUGAAACAAAAUGGAUUUGCCUCUAUGCCACCAUUCUCAUAUGGAUCUCGUAGAGUGAUGAACUCUUUGCCACCCCUUCAGAUGUGGGUGGUGAAGAAAAGGAACUAAUCUCUUCUGCAGGGUCAGGUCUCCAGACGUGCUUUAAUGUCUGAAGAAUUUGCUGGCCUGACAAAAAUGCCUGAAAGGACGCAGGCUAAUCAUGAAGAAAUGAACUUUCAUUUCACACGUCCUCAUACUGCUUAUCUGUUAUACUGCCUGAUGAAAUUCAUCUAAUGAAAUUGAUAUCAUAUUCUUCACUGAUGAAGUAUAUGAGAUCGUAAGUUGCACUAAUUCAUCUACAGGAUGAUCAACCCAAAGCCAAUGAGUGGGUUCUCGAUAGUGGAUGUACAAAUCACAUGACUGGUGACAAGAAUCUAUUGAUGGAUGCUCCCUUAUCACUGUCACAUCUGAAGCAUAUCAUCUUUGCUGACAAAGGCAAAAGUCAGGUAUUGGGUCUUGGUAAGAUUGCGAUCUCUAAGGACAUACACAUGGACAAAGUCAUGCUUGUUGAGUCCUUAGGAUACAACCUCAUGUCAGUCUCAAUGCUUUUGUUGUCUUUGGCAAGUAUCAUUGUGUUGUGAUCAUGGAAGCUGACAAUUCCAAAGUAUUCAAAGGCUUUAGGAGAGGAGACUUGUAUAUUGUUGAUUUCUCUAUAGGACCACAACCAGCCGUGUGUCUACUUGCAAAAGCUUCAGAAGGCUGGCUAUGGCAUCGACGACUUGGUCAUGCAGGCAUGAGGAAUUUGCACACGCUUGUGAAGAAGAAGCAUGUCAUUGGCAUUGAGAAUGUCAAAUUCCUCAAGGAUCACUUGUGUGGAGCCUAUGAAGCUGGAAAAAUGACCAAGGCCAAGCAUUCAGCGAAGACUAUCAUGACCACUACUCGACCAUUCGAAUUGCUUCACAUGGACCUCUUUGGUCCUAAUCAUUACUCAGCAGUCACUAAUGAUGCAUCUCUAUAUGGCUUUGUUAUUGUUGAUGAUUAUUCUCGUUACACAUGGGUACGCAUUGUUACUUACAAGCAUGAAGUGCAGGAAGUCUUCAAACGAUUUUCCUCGAGGGCUUCAACCAACUUUGGUGUGAAGAUCAAGCACAUCAGGAGUGACAAUGGAACUGAGUUCAAGAAUUCCGGUCUUGAUGACUAUCGUGAUGAACUUGGUAUUACUCAUGAGUUAUCUGCUCCUUAUACUCCUGAGCAAAAUGGCGUCAUGGAGCGCAAGAACAGAACUCUUGUUGAGAUGGCGUGCACUAUGCUUGAUGAAUACAAAACACCUCGUCAUUUUUGGAUUGAUGCAAUUGAUACCGCGUGCCACAUCAUCAACAAAGUAUAUCUUCACAAAUUCUUCAAAAACACUGCCUAUGAACUCCUCAGUGACAAGAAACCCAAUGUGAGUUAUUUCAAA
rnacentral:lncRNA from 1 species